GAAAUCCUUCUCCCAAGAAAUUAAAGAGUUGGCAUAAAGAUGUCAAUACUCCAAACCUUAAUUCUGUUCUCCUUCCUCCUCUCCGCCUCCCACGCGGCGGUCCAGGACUUCUGCGUUGCAGACCUCUCGGCCCCCGAGGGCCCCGCGGGCUACUCCUGCAAGAAUGUCUCAGCAGUCACCGUGAAUGACUUUGUCUUCUCAGGCCUCGGCGUGGCUGGGAACACCUCGAACCUCAUCAAGGCUGCGGUGACCACGGCAUUUGUAAACCAGUUCCCUGGCCUGAAUGGGCUCGGCAUCUCCUUGGGCCGCCUGGACAUAGCCCCCGGUGGGGUCAUUCCAUUGCACACGCACCCGGGUGGCUCGGAGGUCCUCCUUGUCCUCCAAGGAAGANNNNNNNNNNNNNNNNNNNNNNNNNNNNNNNNNNNNNNNNNNNNNNNNNNNNNNNNNNNNNNNNNNNNNNNNNNNNNNNNNNNNNNNNNNNNNNNNNNNNNNNNNNNNNNNNNNNNNNNNNNNNNNNNNNNNNNNNNNNNNNNNNNNNNNNNNNNNNNNNNNNNNNNNNNNNNNNNNNNNNNNNNNNNNNNNNNNNNNNNNNNNNNNNNNNNNNNNNNNNNNNNNNNNNNNNNNNNNNNNNNNNNNNNNNNNNNNNNNNNNNNNNNNNNNNNNNNNNNNNNNNNNNNNNNNNNNNNNNNNNNNNNNNNNNNNNNNNNNNNNNNNNNNNNNNNNNNNNNNNNNNNNNNNNNNNNNNNNNNNNNNNNNNNNNNNNNNNNNNNNNNNNNNNNNNNNNNNNNNNNNNNNNNNNNNNNNNNNNNNNNNNNNNNNNNNNNNNNNNNNNNNNNNNNNNNNNNNNNNNNNNNNNNNNNNNNNNNNNNNNNNNNNNNNNNNNNNNNNNNNNNNNNNNNNNNNNNNNNNNNNNNNNNNNNNNNNNNNNNNNNNNNNNNNNNNNNNNNNNNNNNNNNNNNNNNNNNNNNNNNNNNNNNNNNNNNNNNNNNNNNNNNNNNNNNNNNNNNNNNNNNNNNNNNNNNNNNNNNNNNNNNNNNNNNNNNNNNNNNNNNNNNNNNNNNNNNNNNNNNNNNNNNNNNNNNNNNNNNNNNNNNNNNNNNNNNNNNNNNNNNNNNNNNNNNNNNNNNNNNNNNNNNNNNNNNNNNNNNNNNNNNNNNNNNNNNNNNNNNNNNNNNNNNNNNNNNNNNNNNNNNNNNNNNNNNNNNNNNNNNNNNNNNNNNNNNNNNNNNNNNNNNNNNNNNNNNNNNNNNNNNNNNNNNNNNNNNNNNNNNNNNNNNNNNNNNNNNNNNNNNNNNNNNNNNNNNNNNNNNNNNNNNNNNNNNNNNNNNNNNNNNNNNNNNNNNNNNNNNNNNNNNNNNNNNNNNNNNNNNNNNNNNNNNNNNNNNNNNNNNNNNNNNNNNNNNNNNNNNNNNNNNNNNNNNNNNNNNNNNNNNNNNNNNNNNNNNNNNNNNNNNNNNNNNNNNNNNNNNNNNNNNNNNNNNNNNNNNNNNNNNNNNNNNNNNNNNNNNNNNNNNNNNNNNNNNNNNNNNNNNNNNNNNNNNNNNNNNNNNNNNNNNNNNNNNNNNNNNNNNNNNNNNNNNNNNNNNNNNNNNNNNNNNNNNNNNNNNNNNNNNNNNNNNNNNNNNNNNNNNNNNNNNNNNNNNNNNNNNNNNNNNNNNNNNNNNNNNNNNNNNNNNNNNNNNNNNNNNNNNNNNNNNNNNNNNNNNNNNNNNNNNNNNNNNNNNNNNNNNNNNNNNNNNNNNNNNNNNNNNNNNNNNNNNNNNNNNNNNNNNNNNNNNNNNNNNNNNNNNNNNNNNNNNNCUCUCUUCUUGACACUCGACCUAUUCGAGUCGUCCCUUGAGUUUGGAUGCUUGCAACUGUCUAGGUAUCCCUAUUGUCUUUAAGUACCUGCUGCCGUCCAGGUACUCUCUUUUCAUACCACUCAACUUGCCCGAGUUGUCCCCAAAUAAUAGCAAUAGUUCAAGCAUUCCACCACACUAUGCGCUUACGAUUACUCAGGUAUACUUUCUUACACUUGGACCAGUUGAGCAGUCCCUGAUCAUAUCAUUAAAUAUUUGCAUUCAUCCAAAUAUUCCAUUACUUUGUACACCUGCGGCUACCUAGGUGUCCCAACCCUUUCGAAUGCAUGUAGCCAUCUAGGUAAGCUUCAUACCACAUUCAAAUUCUCAAUUACCAGAAUGUGAGAGGCCUUCAUGAAUAUCCAAGGUACGUCUUCGAUAUUCCCAAUUACCAGGAGGUGAGAGAUCUUCAUGAAUAUUCGGGGCAUGUCCUCGAUAUUCCCCAUACCAGGAGAUGAGAGACCUUCAUGAAUAUUCAGGGCACGUCCUCGAUAUUCCCCAUACCAUGAGGUGAGAGACCUUCAUGAAUAUCCAAGGCACGUCCUCGAUAUUCCCAAUUACCAGGAGGUGAGAGACCUUCACGAAUAUCUCAGGUACGCCAUCGAUAUUCCCAAUUACCAGGAGGUGGGAGACAUUCACGAAUAUCUCAGGUAUGCCCUCGAUAUUCCCAAUUACCAGGAGGUGGGAGACCUUCAUAAAUAUCUCAAGCAUGUCCUCAAUAUUCCCAUUACCAGGAGGUGAGAGACCUUCAUGAAUAUUCGGGGCACGUCCUCAAUAUUUCCCAUACUAUGAGAUGAAAGACCUUCAUGAAUAUCCAAGGUAUGUCCUCGAUAUUACCAAUUAUCAGGAGGUGAGAGACCUUCACGAAUAUCUCAAGUACAACCUCAAUAUUCCUAAUUACCAAGAGGUGGGAGACGUUCAUGAAUAUCUAAGGUACGUCCUCGAUAUUCCCUUUUACUAGAAGGUAAGAGACCUUCACGAAUAUACGAGGUACGUCAUCGACAUUCCCAUUAUCAGAAGGUGGGAGACCUUCACGAAUAUCCAAGGUACGUCCUCGAUAUUCUCAUUGCUAGAAUGUGGGAGACCUUCACGAAUAUCUCAAGUAUGCCCUCGAUAUUUCCCAAAUUGCCAGGAGGUGGGACACCUUCACAAAUAUCCAAAGUAUGUCCUCAAUAUUUCCAAUUAUCAAAUACCCCUUUGAUACUUGUGAAUAUCCAAGUAUCCCUAAAGAAUUCUUACUUGUGAUCAUCCAAGUACCCCCUUUAAUGCCUAUGAUAAGCCAAAUACCCAUUUUGACACCUGCAAAGGCCCAAAUAUCUUUCAGGUUAGUACUUGUGAAUAUCCAGGUACUCUUUGAUAUGCCUGUGAAUGUCCAGGUAUCUUCCAAAAUCGAUACCCUGAAAAAGUUCAGCGCAUCCUCCCGAGAAAAGUCGGGUACCAGCUGUUAUCUUUGACAGAGGUCAGACACCUCCACAAAAUAGAUGCCUUGAAAAAGGUCGGUGUAUCUCCUGAGAAAGGUCAAGUACCAACUAGUGUCCUUGAUACAAAUCAAGCACCCACAAAUGAGAUGCCUUGAGAAAGGUCGGCGCAUCUCUCGUCAAGGUGACCGAAGAAAGGUUCGGGUCCUAGACCAAUCAUUAAUUGUUUUAAUAGGCGACCGAAGAAUGGUUCGGGUCCUAGAGAAGCAAUUUCCCAUCACGGCGACUGAAGAAUGGUUCGAGUUCUAGAGGAGCAAUUUCCCGUCAAGGCGAUCGAAGAAAAGUUCGGGUCUUAAACAAAUCAUUGAUUGUUUUAACAGGCAACCGAAAAAUGGUUCGGGUCCUGGAGAAGCAAUUUCCCGUCAUGGCGACCAAAGAAUGGUUCGAGUUCGAGACAAACCACUGAUUGCUCCAACAGGCGACCGAAGAAUAGUUCGGGUCUUGGAAGAGUAAUUUCCCGUCAAGGCCACCGAAGAAAGGUUUGGGUCCUAGACAAAUUAGUGAUUAUUUUAACAGGUGACCGAAGAAUGGUUCGGGUCCGAGACAAACCACUGAUUGCUCCAACAAGCGAUCGAAGAAUGGUUCGGGUCCUAGACAAAUCAUUGAUUGUUUUAACAAGCAACCGAAGAAUGGGUCAGGUCUUGGAGAAGCAAUUUCCCGUCACAACAACCGAAGAGUGGUUCGGGUUCGAGACAAACCACUGAUUGCUCCAAUAGGCGACCGGAGAAAGAUUCGGGUCCUAGACAAAUUAUUGAUUGUUUUAAUAGGUGACCGAAGAAUGAUUCGAGCCCUGGAAAAGAAACCUCCUCAUAUCACCAGGUAAGAUGAUACCUUGAUACUUGCCAAACUUAGGGUUCACAUCCUAUCCCACUCACUCCUAGUAAGUAACUAUAAGUAUCUUCUUAUAUGUCUUAAUAUAUGUAAGAUUAUAUUGCUAUUUUUGCAUAGGAUAAUAGGUCCUAAAUAAAAUAUAUUUUGCUAUGCAUGUAUGGAUAAAAUUUAGGCAUCAGUUUGUCUUUGAAUGCAACCUCUACGAGCUCACCUUCAAAGAGGAGUAGCUGUUGACGCCUAAAUUUUCCUUUUAAUUAGGUUUUUAUUUUAUUUUUAUUUUAUUUUUUUUGGAUAAAAAAUAAACCAAAAAACAAAAAAGAAACGAAAAAAAAUGGAAAAGAAGCAGAAAAACAGAAAAGCAGCAGCCCCUCCUCUAUGGGCCUCCACGGCCCAGGCAUAAGGCCCAGCCCCCCUUCGGUCGUCUCCUUCCUUGGCGCCUCUACAAUUCACGCGCUAGAGACGCGACGCUGGAGCAGGAGAGAGAAACAGUGAUGCACGUGGAGCGAAGAGCACGAGCAACAACGGGACAGGGAGUAGGGGGCAGUUGGCAUCGGAUGGGACGUCGAUUCGGCUAGCGAAGGCUAUGAUGACCGACGGUCGAACUCCGUCGACCGCCCGCCCCUCAGCCUAUAAAUAGGCCCCCAUUUCCGUCGUCGGAAAAAAAAGUCGAGGGAAGGAGGAGAGAGAGAGAGUGGCGAAGGGUUGAGGACUGCAGAUCCUCAAAACCUCCCAACUGAGAGACUUCAAACAUGGGGGCCAAGGACGAGCAGGCCGAGAUCUGAGGUCGCCUGGAGCAGGCGAGGGGGAUUCGGAGCAUGGAGGUGAGAGGAGAUCCCAAUUUGUGGGGGGGUGGGGGGUGCCNNNNNNNNNNNNNNNNNNNNNNNNNNNNNNNNNNNNNNNNNNNNNNNNNNNNNNNNNNNNNNNNNNNNNNNNNNNNNNNNNNNNNNNNNNNNNNNNNNNNGUGUCAAUGGCUUUCCAUGGAUUUUUCUUGUGAGGUUGUAUUUGGUUUGCUAGUGUGUUGAAGUGAGUCAUUGGAGUGGAGAUUUGAUUUUUAGUGCUUUCUGACUUGUUGUUCUGUUCGGACUAUGGAGCAAAACGCCUCCCUUUCUUCAUCGAAUUUUGAGUAGAUGAAUAAAAGUAUGUUGCUUCGUCAAUUCCUUGAGAGCUAAUGUUCAUAUAGAAAAAUAUGCUUGAUAAAUCAAGUGAUGCAGUAAUAUCAUCCACCUAUUAUAGAUGAGAUUACAGUAGAAUUUGGAUCCUAUCUAUAGAGGGAUAAACUAACAUUCGGUGUUGCAUUCAUAUAAUGAUGGCUCACGUCAUACCGAUCAAAGCAUUAUUUAGUAAUGGCGUGUCAUGCCAACACUUUCAAUAUGUUCAUUUAGUAUUGUCCAAGGCCAAGUGGACCAAUUGAUUGAUGUGGACUUUUCUACACAGGACUUAAUUAUGGACGCAGAUUCUGUUUUAGAGCCUAGCUUUGCACUUGUUUCAUUUUUUUCUAAAUACACUAGAAUCUUGUCACGAUCAUUUGCACAAUAAGCCAGUAAUGUAUGCGUUCGGAUCAUGUGAACCUAGCUCACGCAACUGUUAGAUUAGUGGGUUCUACAUGGGCCCACUUCAUCCAAUGGUACAUGUGAGAUGAGCUAACAUGCACUAAGGGCAUCUAAGAAUUUUUUUUCUUCUACAGUACUCGUUCUGCCUUAAAAGUGUUGAGGUGUGGCAUUUGAUUAGUUGUUUAUCCAUUACUUCAUCAAAUUUCGAAACAAUUAUCUUUUAAAUCCAUUUUUGGAUUCCUACAACUCUAAUGCCGCCAGAAAGCUCGACUCACUAUUGUUAGGUGUAAGUAUUUUUUGAUUUAGAUCCUUGGGUAUUUAUUUGAUCGUGUGUUUUCCUUGAAAAGGUGGUUAUGUGAUUUGAGACCAACAAGGGUGUCGGCCAAAUGAUAUCUUUUUGGAAAGCUUACAAUGAACUUAGGUGCUCAUGAAGUUCCGGGGUGAGAUGACGUAAUUCAAGGAAAUGAUGCUAACAUUUCAAUCUCUAUCUAUCUAUCAAUGGUCAUAAAAGUGGGUCAAACUCGCACGAUGAUGACUCACGUGGCGCACACUCGCGCGAGCUUGAUGCACUAAUUUGCUUUUGAUGUCAGUUAGAAAACCUAUAAUCUAAACCGAUGUCUAAUUUUAGCAAAUAUCUAAAUUUUAAUUUUUAUAAUGAAUUAUUACUGAUUAAAAAGAAAUAUUUAAAUAAGUUUUUCAAGGCAAUUAUCAAGUCAGUCCUAAACUUAUUAUGCCAAUUCAAACCUAAGCUUUCCGAUUUUAUCAAUUGAAUUGCUUGACAUUAGAAUUUCGCCCAUAAAAAUUAAUUAACAAAAUUAGGGAUUAUGACUUAGAUAUGUUAUGCGCAACCCAUUUAAGCUUCAAAAUCAAUUAUCGCCUGUGCUUUGUCGGAUAGAAUAGACAUCGAGCACUCUCCCCCAGAGAUACGGAGGUCAUCCAUCGUACGCACAGAGGCUGGACGAAGCGGACGGAGGAGUCCUAUCUCGGGCUUGAGUUUGGCCGGUCCGGGCUCUAUCAAGAGCCUAGUUCGAAUUAAUUCUUCUUAGGCCCAAAUUUCACUUGAAAGGAAAGCCAGGUCCACAACCUUGCAAGCCCAUGCAAACCCAGACCCAGCCGGCCCGGACAAAUGAAACCCUACCCGAAUAUGACCGGCGCCCGACCUAGUUCGUAGCCUCCUCUACUCCCCCACCACUAGAGUUGUCAAACGAGUGGGUCGGGUUGGGUCAUUAAUGGUCUGACCCAAAUUGACCCAUUAACUCAUUUAUAACACAUUUAUGCCUAAUGUAAAUUUUUCAACCUAUACCCGACCCGACCCAUACUCAACCUAUUUCACUAAACUUAAGAAAGCUUAUUUCUUAUAUAUAUAAAAUGGUAUUCCAAAAAUAGUUUUAUGCAACACAAAUUUAAUGGACAAUUUUUAUCAUUUUUAAAAUAAUUAUUUUAAAUAAUCGAAUUUAAUUAUUUUUAAUUAUUUUUAUAUUUUUUAAAUGUAAUUUUCUUUUUUCUUUUUUUCUUUUUCUUUCUUAUUUUUUGUUCUUCUUCUUCUUUGGCUGGCCACCGGCCACGACAACAGUCGGCGGCUAGCCAUAGGCGAGCCUCAAGCUCGCCUAGCUCGCCAACGCCGGCGAGCUUAAGCCUCGUCGGACGUUGGUGAGGCCUCCGCCUUGCCAGAUCCGGCGAGCUUGAGGCUCAUUGGCAUUGGGUGAGCUCGAGGUCGCCCCCCGCCGGAUCUGGCAAGGCUCAAGCCUCCCCAAAUCUAAUGAGGCUCGAGCCUCGCUGGUGUCUGGAGAGCUCGAGCCUCACCGGUGUCGGGUGAGCUCGAGCUCGCCCCUCGUUGGAUCUGGCAAGGCUUGAGCCUCGCUCGACACCGAUGAGUUCGAGUCUCGCCAAAUUCGGCGAGCUCAAGGCUCGCCUGGCCAAUCGUUAGCCAUCGCUGUGCCGAAGACCAGAGGAAGAAGAAAGAAAGAAAAAAAUAAAGAAAAAAGAAAAAAAUAAUUAUAAUAUUGGUUUUUAUAAAUAAAUAUAUAUAUAUAUAUAUAUAUAUUUGUAAAGUUAAAAAGAGAAGAGAGAGAUUGUUAGGUGUCGCGACCUACCCUCGGGGGGAGGGAAUAGGUUUAGGAGUAUUGCCUAAAGGACGGGCCUAAGGCUCAUGAUUAGGCGUGAGCUCUCCAAGCCCAUCCCCAUGUGAUAUUUGGAUAUUUCCUAUGAAUUUUGCACAAAAGGAGUUGCCACUAGCCUAUUGGGGUCGGCUAGAAACUAAGUGAGGCAUGGGAGUGUACCUCAGUUCCUACGCAACCAGAGAAUUUGGGGUCGGGGACUUGAUUACACUAAUUGGUCAAUUAAUGCACUUUCGGUACCUAAUCUUGUUCAUUUUAACAAAAUGAUUUUUUUUUUCAGGCAGUUUGGAUUGAUUUUAUAUUGCUCAAUUAACAUGUGAGGUAAUAAUGCGGGUGCGCAAUUAUUAAAAUAACAAUCAUAGCUACCAAUGUCCUAAUUGCAAUAAAAUUACACACAUACCAUUAAACAUAACAAGAUAUACAAUCUAAACAUGCAAUGUAAUCAAAAUAAAUGCACAAUUACACUUAAAACGACAACACCUAGCAAUUCCUAACCAAAUCCUAUCAUUUUUUGAAUUUUCGAAAUUUAAAAAAAAAAUAAUUAAUUUAAAAAAUCGAUUUUUUUUUAUAAAUUUUCUAAACCUUUUGAUUGAUGAUUUUUGUGUGUGUGUUUUUUCUAAUUACUACUGAAAAUUUCACACUUUCUGGAUUUUGGAAUUUUCUGAGAUUUUUUUUUUCCUUAAUUUUCUGAUUUUUCUCUUUCCUUUUUUUAAUUAAUUUUUUUAAAGAAAACUUGAAUUUUCAAUAUUUUCUGAGAUUUUUUUUUUUGAAAGUUUCUUUUAAUGUUCUUUGAAAGUUGUUGAUUUUUCGGAAAAAAUUUUUGAACUCCUUUUUUUGAAUUUUUUUUAUUAUUUUAACAUAUUUUUAGUAUUUAAUAUUAUUUUACUCGGUAAAACGGUUCCUGUCCGAGUAAACCCAGUCCGGCCCACAGACACGGCCCAAACUCUGGAUCCGACACAAUCGGAUCUAAAAGAAACGAAGCUUUCCUAUUUUUCGUACAUUUCUUUAAUUUUCUUUGUUUUCCUUUUUUAUUAAUUUUCUUUUACUCUACCCAGCAGGUCCGUCUUUCUCUAGUGCGCUUACAACUUUUUCCAGCACACAGAAUACUAAACUAUUCAACUUCAAACACCCCAACUUUCAACAACUUGUAUACACACGAGAAUAAUAUCCGCAUCUUCAACAAUCCUCGAUCACCAUCACUGGACUAACUCCACCAAACCCUUCGAGCUAACAUUUCGAACCGCCCAGCAAGCAAAAGAUGGGCUGGAGAAGAAAAGUAUGGCUGCAAACCCAAGAAAACCACACUCCAAGGCUAACUAGUCGAUUAAUAACGUGACGACACGCAAAUACAUCUUUGGAUUUGGCUAAACUAGCUCCCAAAUCUUGUUAAACCUACCGAGCCCAUUGCUCAACUCACGGCCAUUUCAACGCCAACUUCUCUUCUCAUGAACAAUUACACACACUUUUUCCAGUAAAAGGAGAACACCCAUGGAUUUACAAACCAACGCAUUCGAUUUUCAAACAGAAAAAAAUGCAUGGCCAUAAACUCACAUCUCAGGGAAACAAACGUAGACUACAUGAACUAAAGUCAAAAGUUAUGGCUUUUCUAAAAUAAUAAGAUGUUUUGAUUUGAAAGACCCUCUUCGAAUGAGGAGGCAGCUUUGCAGUCGACUAGAAUGCACAGCACAGAGACAGGUUUUCAUAGUUUUCGUUCAAGCAUUUCAUCGAGCAUGUAGCGGGCAAGAAAUGAGGAAAACGACGCUGGCCACUUCUUAGGACUCGGACUUAGACCUAGACCCGAGUGAACACAUGGAAACGCUUAACAUCAAACAAAUUGACUCAGCUGGACACAAUAAACUCAAGAAUCAGAGAAAACUCGCUUGGCUAUUCCACUACCAAAACAGGGCAGUGCCGGGAGAGUUCAUGGGAAUGAGUUUCAGUCAUAAACCCCUACCCGGCUCGAAGACGGCAGCACGAAGGCCAGUUCGAGACAAAUCGAACUUCAGUCGACCACCUCGCGAUAUCCCCGAGCCGAGAUCCUCGGGAACGAACAAUUUGGACAAAAAGGAAACUCACCGGAAAAUGCCGAGAUUUGGGGACGAAAAGUCUUGCUCUCGGGGGCGUCGGCUAGAAGUCAACAAUUGGCCUCGAGGAGGGGUGAGAAACACUCCACCCAAGUAGCUUCUAGCUUUCUCCCUAAUCGUCUCCUUCUCUCAAGCUUGCUCCGUGCUGGUUUUUUUUGUGUUGUUGUUUUCCUCUCGGUUCCGGUCCGCCCUACUCUCUGCUACCCUCAUUCGGUCUUAUACUUCUGUCUUUCCUUUUUCUGCAGGUAUUCCGAGCAAAGACCUCCUACCGUGCCAGCUGGUCGAUCGGUCUACUUCCCCAACCCACGGAUCGCGUCGAAAGCCUUGCCAUGCCGAUGCUCUGCCUUGCCUCCUCUUUUCUUCUCGUUUCUUUCCUUUUUGCUCUUUUUUUUUUUUUUGUAGGAACUUGCACGAAGACUACGGCCGAGCCAGUUGCCGGCAGGGUGCUCUCGACUUGCGAAUCAUGCCGCUUGCCUGCCACACCGAUCCUCUGCCGCCCCUGUUUUCGCUGCCCUCCUGCUGCUCUGUCUUCUGCAAGUCUUCGAGCGAAGACCGGCAGAAGAAAAGAAAAAGGGGCUGGGCCGGUCGGAAGGGAAAGGAGAUUGGGCUAGGCCCAGUGCGAGGGGAAGAAAAGAGAGGGGCGGGUCGAGCCAUGGUCAAAUCCGGCCCGACCCGACCAUUUUUUUUUUUAAUUUCGAUUUCUUUUUUGAUUUUUUUUUCGAAAUUUUUUUUACUUUUUUUUUUUAAUAAUAACCCUUUUUGUGACUAAUUCCUAACCUUUAACACUACUUUAAAUUAAUUAAUUUAGGUGAAAUUUAGGUGUCAACAUUAGGUUUUGGGUGAAAAUGGGUUCUAAAUCUAACCCAUUUAAGACCCAUUUAAGACCUACUUAAGACCCACAUAUCUUAAGUCUUUAGUUGUUAAACCUAUCUAACUAACUUCUUAAAAAACUAAGUGAACCAUAUAUGACUCAUUUAUGAUUUAAAUUGGUCAUAUAUGGGUCUAUGACCUGUUUUGCCACCUCUACCCACCGCGAACCCCAACAGAGAUGGCUGCGGUGAGCGACGGCGGCUGGCCCAGUAUUCUUGGUCGCGGUGGCACAGCAAGCAGGAUCGGUGGUAAAUCGGCGAAGCAACUGGCAGCAGUGUCGUGCCAGCAACAACCGUCGGCUGCAACAUGGCCUGGGUCUCCAUGGCUUGGCCGAGAUGGGGCUCUCUCUCUCUGAGAUCUCCUCUACGACCUCCGCCCUCUCGGUGCUCUCCCUCUACCUUCACCCCCUCCGCUCACUCUCUCGGGCUUCUUGGAUGUCUCUCCAAAGAAACCUCUCCGCUCUCUCUCCUCCACCCUUCUUUUCUCUCUCUUUGGCUCCCCCAUCAAUAUUACAGUUUCGUCUAGGGGUUCUCGCAUUUCCUCUAGCAGGCUUCUUAACGAAUCAACUACCAUUUUCUAUGUCCAUUAUCAUGAGCGUGUUUUUCUCAUACCUUUGAUCAGGAGCAUUCCUUAGUAUAAGUAGAUCAAUUCUUGCCAGCUACCUAUGUUAUGAUCGUAACAAUGCUACUUAUUCUCCCUUUCCAAACAUUUAGAAUAGCCCACGUUGUGCUCAGAACUUGGACAAUUUGUACAAGUAUCAAAGUUCAGCUGUUCCAGAAAGCAGGAUACUCAUCUCUUUGCCUGGUAAGGACAUAAGCAGGAUACUGACACUCUGUUCUUCAACUUUAUCUUAUUGAUAGAGUUCCUUGUGCUUCCUAGUGCCUCAGCUUGUAUAUUUUAUCUUGUAACGGGAUUGCUCCCUGCUUCUGUGUUUUUCGCUGAAUAAAAUCUUACUUAUCAAAGUAAAAAAGAAAAGAUGAUGUCUGAUUACGAGUCGUGAUGAUAAGUGACUUACUUAUCUGAAUCUGAUGUUGUCCAGCUCGAUUCUUCCUUUGAUUAUGUCUCGCUUUCCCCAAACCCAAUCUUUUUUCAUCUUCUAGUCUCCAUGUGUGUUUACACGCGCCGCUGUAGUUCCUUUUGAUAAUAACAUUCUAUUAUCAAAUCUCUAUUGCUUUGUAGUGAUCUUUCAUAAUUGUUUGCGGAUAUUACUGGGGCGUCCCUAAGGCUAUUUCAGACUGAGAGUAAAGAGGCGGAAGCACAGUAGAAUCUUGUUAAGUGUAAGUUCUGUUCUGUUUAGAUACUUGGGUUUUGACUUGAGGAGCUUUUGUAAUUUCUUCGUUAGACUUUUUUUAUUUUCCUGCAAAUCCGGUCAGUUAAUUACAUAUAAAGAGUUUGGUUUAUUUUAUACACCCCACUAGAUCCAAAUUCCAGGCUUCAACCCUGCUGCUAAUGUUGAUUAUUUCUUGUAACUCCACGCACGUAUGAAAUGGACCAUUUUUAUUUUUUUUUAAUAUAACACUAAGAUGUGGCUAUGUUCAUUCGAGACGAACAGCCCUUUUGGGCAAAUGAUUUCUUACAGGAAAGCUUACAAUAAACCUAGGUGCUCACGAAGUUUUGGCGGGAGAUGAGCUACUUCAAAGAAAUUAUACUUGCAUGAAACUUUCGAUGUGAAUUUAGUAUCCAUUAAUUUGUCUAUAUAUAUAUAUAUAUAUAUAUAUAUAUAUAUAUAUAUAUAUUUAUAUAUUUAUAAAUAAGUGGGCAAAACUCGUGUAAGGUUGACUCAUACAAUACGCUCAUGUGCAAGUUUUAUCCAUUUCUUUACUUUUGAUAUUGUGACAUCCCAGAUUUUCAGUCUUGUUUUCUAUUGAAUAAAUCGGGCAUUUCAUUGACGCGUCUAUAGGGCUGUUCUCAGAACUGAUCAUUCUAGAGAUAACUAGACUAUCUGGGGAAACUAUUAAGAAUUUUAAGGCAAAUAGACUUGAGAACUCGACCAGGAAUGGGCUACUCGACCGUAUUCAUCUGCUGAGAUCAUUACGGCACAGACGUAAAUUGAUUAGAGAUGAAAUAUAGGUCGGUUCGACAGAGAUGUGUGGCUAAUCGUGGGUGACACCACUAAAUUGGAAAAUUCUCGCCGGCUGACACUAGAUUGAAUUUUCUAUCGUUUUGGUACCCUGUGUUCGUAUUUGAAUUCUCGAGAUUUCUACGACAAUCGAAAGUUGCCAAUGUGUCGAGUGGGUUCAUUGUGGCUCGAAGAAAAUCAACCACGGGUCAUUUGCACUAAAAAGUUCUGAAGACUACCCGGCAGUCUAGGUCACGCUAAAAACGCGUCGAAUGGAAAUUAACCGUGAAUUCGAACCCGAUUUUAGAAAUCGAAAGUUCUGUGAUGUCACGAGCUAUUUUAGGAAUGUUGACUCAGUCUCAGAAGAAUUUUUGGAGAUUCCGGGAUUUUUACGGAAAAUCAAUUCGAACGUGCGGAGAAUAACGAAAAUUCGGAUGGGCUCAAUUGAAGAAAAUUUGUUCUAAAACGAGCUACUAGGUGAUGGGAAUUUGUCGAAAUGUUUGAGAUUUUUCUUCGACGAAAUUGGACUUCGAAUUGGUGAAGUUGGGGAUAAAAUCGAAGCCAAAGUUUAAUGAAUUAAGGCAGCAAUUAUUGGACUUCAAGAUUGGAUUAUUGAUGAAUUUUAUGCAAGAAGGUAAUAAGAAACAUUGAGAUAAGUUGAGGGCUAGUUGGGGGACAAAGCCUUCAAUUUAGUGGAUAAGUGUGAUGACUUUUCUUUCUUUUAUUUGAGCUUCUUCAGCAAGUCUCGCCGGUCUCUCUCUCUUCCCCAUCCACUCGCGUUCGCGGAAUCCCCCUGACCGACAGCCUCUGCAGGAUUAUCUUCUUGGGCUUUAUUACAUUGACUAGAGUCAAUGUUUAUCCCUCAUUCAGCCGACAUCACUUAGCUGUCUUUCUUUUCUUUUUUCUUUUAUUCUUUUCAUUGAUUCAAAGGAAGAAGCAGCUUCUUCAUUUCUCUUCUCGCGAUCACCCCCACCGAACAUCCCCCACAACUCUUGGCCACACGUCCGCUGCCCAGCCAUCUUCGAUCAAUCUUUAGCAAGCGAGACCCCUGCUCUUGAAUCCAUCAUUUCAUCGACUCAUCCACCGCUUCACUUCCGCCCGCCAGCUGCUCCAAUUUCAUCAGUUUGCUCUCAACCAAAGCUAUUCCAGCUUCGACUCUGCCACGCCCGUGACGCCACGCUGCAACUCUCUUCGUCCGUUUCCUCUCGACGCGUCUCUUUUGGCCCAAGCGAAGCUGCUCCUCCAUCAAGUGUCUUCUGCCAGGCGUCCUCUUCAGUCAACAACCGGAAGCACUGAAGCCUCUUUGUUGACCGAUCAACACACGUGAAUCUCUCCACCAGCUCAACGCCAGCAAGACCGAAGUCCAUCGUCUUCAUCCAAGUCUCCAUGCGUCCCCUGCUGGUCAAACGAAGCUGCCCCUUCUCCCGAUUGUUGACCACCGAAGCUCACGCGGCUUCAAUCCACCGAAUCCCCAUCGCCAGCUCACGUCCAAGUCUUCGGUCAAUAGAAAAUGCCCGCAAGAGCCUGUGUUGACUCCAUCGACGAGAGUCCUUCAAGCUACGGCUGUCCGCUCCAUCUCUCGGCAACGGCGCCAGCUGCAUCUCCACGGACGUCUUCGCCAGCAGCUGCUUCCGUCCAAGCGUCAUUAGCUCGCGUGUCUUCGGCCAGUUGAAUCCUCAAAGCCCAGCAGCAAAUCCAGCAACUUUUGUGGACCAUCUACCAACGAAGCUGAAGCCUGGCAAGCCCACGUGAAUCUUUCUUGUGCAGCCCAGUGAAGCCUGCACAUUCGGUCCAAGCCCAUCUCAGCCUGUGAAUUUCAGUCCAGCUUUGAAGCCUGUGAAAAUAGGCCCACUUGAAGUUCAGCCCAUUGGAUUUUAAGCCCAGCGAAAUUUGUUGGUUCAGCAGCCCAUCUCAGCGAAGCCCAACAAAAUUAGAAGCCCGCGAAGCCAAGCCCAAGCCCAGAAAUUUCUGUGGGCUUGCGAGGCUUGUAGGCCCGGUCCAAGUGUCCGUCGACGCCGCCGAAAGUUCGGGUUUCGGCCGCCGUCGCAGUGAUCCGGUCCUCGCUUUUAAUCAAGUGAGUAAUCUCACUAAUCCUCGCUUAGUAGACUAAUGAUGCUUAAGGGUUGAUUAGAUUUAAUUAAGUGCAAUUAGGUGGUUAGAUUAGUUUAAAGCAAUUAAAUUAGUGACUUAAUGAUGCAUGUUAGGUGAUUAGACUUAGUCAUUAGCAAGUAGAGACGUACUAUUAUUUAUUGAAUGCAUCUCGGGAUUUUUCCCGACCCUUAGUGGGCUUCAAUUAGGCAUUACGGGCCUAAAUUGGAUUUUUAGUAUUUAUUUAUUAAUUUUCGAAAUUAAUUAUUUAAUUAUUUAUUUUUCGGAAAUUAGGCAAUGAUAGCCGACGACCGAAAUUUCGUGCUGAUUGUCGUGGUGUAGUCCGUUUAUUUAUUUGAACUCUACAUUGUGCUAAAUUGAAUUAAUUGUGCAAUUUGAGGAAUUAUUCCUAAAUUGAUUAAGAUUGAGUAAUUGAAUUGCGAAUGGCCGAGUACGAUUGUUUAGCGUCAAUAAUGCUUUGAUGGGCUAUUAAGUGGAGAAGUUUGUGAGAGUAAAUUGAAUAUACUUUUGGCAGAGAUCCAUCGGGUACAUUAAUAUCGUGUGAAAAUUGAGUGAGUUGAUGAAUAUGUGGAGAUUUAUCCCAAGAUUGAUCAGUGUUGGUAUUUAAUUAGAAUUUGACUAUGAAAGGUUGUGAGUAUGGCUGUGCCAGUGGGGCUGAGUUUUGCCACCGAAUUUGGAAUCGGUCGCACCCGUUGGGCCGUAAAUUGCCACCUAUUAAAGGUCGCGCCUGUUGAGGCCGUAAUUUGCCACCCGAUAGGGGUCGCGCCUGAUAAGGCCGUAAUCUGCCACCUAUUAAAGGUUGCGCCCAUUGGGCCGUAAUUUGCUACCUAAAGAUAGGUCGUGUCCUUUGGACUGUAAUUUGUUGCCAAGAAAUUUGGUAGUCUAUGCUCGUGAAGUCGUGAGUACGAUUAGAGACUAAAUAAGGGAAACGACUAGGGAAUAGUCGAAUUGACAUGAAAUCGACUAGGUCAAUGGAUCGAAAUAUUAAUCUAUGAUGUAAUUGCUUAGGUGCCUAUUGAACUGUACUAAUAUGCAUGUGGAAUCUGAGGCCAAGGUAAGUCCUCUGACCAGUGCUUGUAUAGGCAGCCUGGUUAGCGUAUUUGUUUCCUAAUCGAGUCUUAGUGGGGUAGAACUUGCUGAGACGUAGUCUCAUCCCGGUUGUGGGACAACAUUUCAAGACCCUGAUGAGGAGCCUGAGGAGAAAGAAACCGAAGAGGAGUACCUGGAGGAGAACCCCGAUGAUGAUCUGAGUACGAAUCGGAUGAGAACUGAAAUCCCGUCAUCUUUUAGGAAUCCUGUCUAAAUGUGAAUAAUGUGAGACUAGAAUGUUAUGAAUAGUCUUGUGAUUAGACUUCGAGUUAUGCCAUGUAUAAAAGUUUGGUUGUGGAUUUCAAUAUGAAAAAUAUGGCCUUACUUUUCUAUCCCAUUGUGUUACUGUCUGGGGAUUUAUAACUGCUUCCGCAUGUGCUUAAUAAAAAGAAAGGGUCGGCGAUACUUAGUCCUGGGAUAUCACAUUAUAAAAUCGACCAAGUAGAAGGAUGUGUGCGUGCCCAAGGAUCGGGGCGUGACAGAUAUUCAAUUUCGCAACUUCUAAUACUAGCAUAUUUAAAAUUUGAGAAAAUAUCUAAUUCAACAUCUUUAAUUUAUUUUGCAUAUUUUGAGAAUAAACUUCUUUCAAUUUGCAAGAAAUAAAUGCUCAAGGAAAUUAAAUAUGUAUAUGUAGAUGCUAUUGAACUAUUUAUGUAUAUAUGGAACAUUGUUGUAAAAUAUUGUAUUGUUGUAAAAUAUUGUGUUGCAAAUAUAUAAUAGAGAGAAUAAAGAGAUUGGGAAGAGAAAGAAGGUAAACACCAAAGAUAGUAGAGAAAGCUAGAGGAGAUAGUUUUAUCUCCAAUGUAUCAUAGAAUAUCUAUGACAAAAACUAAGCUCCUAUUUAUAAGAAAAUAAGGAUGUGCUUAUCAUUAAUAUCAAUAUAUCGAAAAAUACAUGUAUUGGAUAGAGAGAUGAACAUUCAUUAUAUAGGAAGAUGUACUUAUAAUGUAUGAUACAAAUGUAUCAUAAUAAGUACAUUAGAUAAGAUGAUUAUAAUAAAUAUUUAUUCAUGUAUUUCAUAACACUCCUCCUUGAAUAUUCAUUGUAUUCAUUGCGAGUAUGCAUCGAAUGAUAUUGCCUCAUUAAAAACCUUAAUCCAAAAAAACCCAAGGGGACAAAAACCAAACAAAAGGGAAAAAGAGUGCAGGGCACAAAUUUUAUGAUCUAUCCAUUUUAUGGAUGCAUUAAUUGUCUCAUUAAAAACUUUAAGCCGGAAAAACCCUAUGAAAAAAAACCAAACAGAAAGGGAAAAAAAGUGCAAUGCAUAGUUCAUAAUAUCUCAUCCUCAAUUGAGCCAUAUAGCCACUACUGGGGCUAGUCAAUCUUGCAUCUUGUGAAAUCGUCGCAUACCAAUGCUAUAUACUAAUUUAUCAAAACUUGACAUAGGCAAUGAUUUGGUAAAAAAAUCUGCAAGAUUAUUUAUAGAUCGAAUCUAUUUAACAUCAAUUUGUUGACUUUCUUGGAGUUCAUGAGUAUAGAAAAAUUCCGGUGAGAUAUGCUUAGUUCUAUCACCUUUGAUAUAUCUUCUCCUAACUUGUGCAACACGAGUAGCAUUAUCUUCAUAAAUUAUAAUGGGAGAAUUUGUAACCGAUAUUAAACAACAAGAAUUAUGAAUAUGCGUUAUAAUGGAUCUUAACUAAACACACUCUCUUCCAGUUUCAUAUAAAACAAUAAUCUUAGAGUAGUUAGAGGAUGUAGCUGCUAGCGAUUGCUUCGUAGAACGCCAAGAAAUAGCUGUGCCGUUAUAACAAAAUAAAUACUCGGUUUGAGAGUGAGCCUUAUGUGGUUUAGAUCUAUAUCUACCAUGAGCAUAUCCAACUAAAUUAGAGUUAGUGGAAUCCUUGGAAUAAUAUAAUCUCAAAUCUACAGUUCCUUGAAGAUAACAUAAAAUAUGUUUAACUCAAUUCCAAUGUUUCUAAGUUGGCUCAGAACUAAAACGUGCCAAUAAAUUUAAUGCAAAAUAGAUAUCUGAUCUCGUGCAUUGUGCCAAGUACAUCAAAACCCAAAUUGCAUUGAGAUGUGGUACUUCAAGACCAAAUAUCUCUUCAUCAGAUUCUUUAAGACAAAAUGGGUCCUUUUGGGGAUCUAGAGACCUUACAACUAUAGGGGUGCUCAAUGGGUGAGCUUUGUCCAUGUUUAAGCAUUUAAGCAACCUUUCAACAUAUGUUGAUUGAUGGACGAUUAUUCCAUUUGCUUUAUGCUCAAGCUUUAGAUCAAGAUAAAGUUUGGUUUUACCCAAAUCUUUAACUUCAAACUCCAUUUUUCAAAUACUCAACAGUUUUAGCUAACUCUUAUGAGUUCCAAUUAAAUUUAUAUCAUCAACAUAAAUUGCUAUAAUAGCAAAUCCAAUUUCUGAUUUCUUAAUAAACACGCAUGGGCAUAUAUGAUCACUCUUGUACAUUUCCUUAAUUAGGUACUCACUUAGGCAUUGAUACCACGUACGAUAAGAUUACUUUAACCCAUACAAGGAUCUUUGCAAUUUUAUUAAGAAUAAAUUGCGGGGAGUGCAUGCUUCAGGCAUUUUGAAUCCCUCGGAAAUUUUCAUAUAAAUAUUAGAGUCUAAUAAGCCAUAUAAAUAUGUCGUCACAACGUCCAUAAGACGCAUUUCCAAUCUUUCAGAGAUUACUAGGCUAAUGAGAAAACAAAACGUAAUCAUAUUCAUCACAGGUGAAUAUGUCUUAUUAUAAUUAAUCCCAGGUCUCUCAAAUAACCCUUGGGCAACGAGUACCUGACAACCUCGUUUUUCUCAUUUCAUUUUCGAAUAAAUACCCAUUUAUAUCCAACGGGCUUUACAUUAUCGGGGAUACGAAUUACGAGUCCAAAAACCUCUCGUUUAGUUAGGGAAGCUAAUUCAGCCUUAAUUGCUUCCUCCCGCUUAGGCUAAUUUUGCCUUUGACAACAUUUGAUAAUAGAUUGCAGCUCACAAUCAUUAUCCAUAAUUUUAUGAGCAACUGAGAAUGCAAAAGCAUCAUCAAUGAUGAUUUCAUUUCGAUCCCAAAUUUCGUUACAAUAUGUAAUAGAAUUCUUAGUAUUCUUAGUAUUCGUGUUCCUUUCAUGGGUUUACGCCUCUUUAGGGGCAAUAAGCUCUUUCGGAGCAAGCACAACGCUUGGCUCAUCUGGAGCGGAUUCUUGAUUCUUUCCCCUUCGUUUUCGAGGAGCAGUAUCUUUUGAUUCUAUUAGUCUACCACACUUCAAGUGUGGAGGAUUUUGAUCCAUUUUAACCUGUUCUUUGGGAACAACUAUCCUAGCUGGAGCAUUUGCAGUUGGAAUAUGAGACUUCGUUACCUUAGUAUCAUCAUUAAAUGCAUUAGGAAGUCUACUGGCCAUAGCAUGUAAAUGAAUUAUGCGUUGCACCUCGUUUUCACAUUUAGGAGUACUUGGGUCUAAUUGAGAUAAUUUUUUCUCAUUCUAAGAGAAAACCUCAACUGGUUUUUGUUUUGCAGUCAUGGAAGUUGUAGGUAUCCCAAUUGAUGGAAACAUAGUCUCAUCGAAAUGACAAUCUGCAAAUCUAGCAGUAAAAAGAUCACCGGUAGUUGGUUCCAAGAACCUAAUGAUAGAUAGUGAAUUAAAUCCAAUAUAAAUGCUCAAACGGCAUUGGGGACCCAUUUUUGUUCUUUUUGGCGGUGCUACAGGACUUGUAUUGCACAACCAAGGGUGCGUAAAUGUGAAAUAUCUGGUUCAUAACCAAUAACCAUUUGAAGGAGAGAUUGUAAAAGACUAACAGUGGAGCAUAGUUUUAUUAAAGCUGCCGCAUGCAAAACUGUAUGACCCCAUGCCAUAUCGUUGAUAUUCGUUCUCAAUAAUAGAGUGUGGACAAUUAUUUAGACAUUGUUUAAUAAAAGGAUUUUGCCAAUCCAUUUUGAGUAUGAACAUAUGUAACCGAGUACUCAACUUCGAUUCCGAGUGAAGCACAAUAGGUAUCAAAACUCUUUGAUGUAAAUUCACUAGCGUUAUCCAUUAUUAUGCUCUUAAUUAGAUAAUCAAGGAAUUGUGCCCGGAGUUUUAUAAUCUGCGCAUGUAAACGUGCAAAUGUGACAUUGCGCAUAGAUAAUAGGCAAACAUGAGAUCAUUUACAGGAUGCGUCCAUUAGUACUAUAAAAAUAUCGAAAUGGUCCAUUUGGUGGUUGUAUUGGUCCACAAAUAUCACCCUGAAUUAUUUGCAAGAAUGAAUGUGAUUCAAAAUUAACCUUUGUUAUAAAAGAUUUNNNNNNNNNNNNNNNNNNNNNNNNNNNNNNNNNNNNNNNNNNNNNNNNNNNNNNNNNNNNNNNNNNNNNNNNNNNNNNNNNNNNNNNNNNNNNNNNNNNNNNNNNNNNNNNNNNNNNNNNNNNNNNNNNNNNNNNNNNNNNNNNNNNNNNNNNNNNNNNNNNNNNNNNNNNNNNNNNNNNNNNNNNNNNNNNGAAUGUGAUUCCAAAAUUAACCUUGUAUAAAGAAUUGAUAAUGAGUUUUUCUGUGAACCAAGCCUCACAAUUAUAAUCUUUGGACAAUAAUACAUUUGUAUCAUUUAAAGGGUGUCCUUUUGUAUUCUGAAUUAUUCUAUGCAUCAUUGAAGCACCAGGGUGGCCAAGGUGAUCAUGCCACAGUCCAAACUGAUCAAAGGUUUACCAAUCUCUAGGAUGUGGUGGCGUAGGUUUCAAUAGCCUUAAUCAUGACAUAAUACAAACCCAUAGAAGAAACUUCUAGCUUCUCAUGGAUGGUUUUCAGGCUCAUCUUAUAAGAGGAAAUGUCAAUAUAUUCUUUAUCUUGCUCAUAAAUAGUCUCAAUAUGGUACCAAUUACGGCGUACAUCGUUGAAUUGAGCAUAUUUCUUUUUGAUUUAAUGCUUAGAAACGCAUCCUCAAUAUGCAAGAUGGUGCCAUUUGGCAAAACAAUUGUGGCAUUCCCAAAACCAUCAAUAAUCGGAACAUGACCUGAUAUUGUAUGGAUUUGUGUCUUACGUAAUGUCAUACUCGAGAAAAAAUGUCUACUACAAAAUAUAGUAUGUGUUCUUGCACUAUCAAGCAAACAAACAUAUUCAUUUUUCUCGGUAUUUUCCAUUUGCAUUUAUAUUGAUAACUUCAGGUGUUAAGUAUCAUAAAAUUUGCAUAUUAGUUAUAGAGUCAAAUAAAAUUUCAAAAUAAAUAUUAUAUAAGGUUCAUAAACAUUUCAUAACCAUAUUAAAUAACAAUAAAAAGUAAUACAAUUAAAUCAAAACAACUAAAAAAGAAAUUAUUAAAAUCAUAGAAUUUGAAGUUCAAAUUAUCAUCCACCAAUCUGAUGUUUUAUCAAAGUAAUCGGAGGUCAAAGAAAUCAGAGACAUCUAGGAAUGCAUUUGCUACUUCAGGAGUAAGAGGAGUUCUACCAACGGAGAUAUUAUUGGCCUCAACAGUGGUUAUGGCAGUAGGAUUGAUUUCAAUGGCAUGAGAUUCACUAAGCUUGCCCGUAUUUUUUAAAGAUGCCCGGUAUAGGUCAACAAAGUGCUUUGGCGUCUGACAAGUAUGUGACCAAUGUCUAGUCAUGCCACAACGAUGACAAAUACUUUCAUUAAUCACCUUCUUAGGCUUAUUUUCUUUGUCAUGAUUUAGGCCAAAGUUAGAUUUCUUAGGGCAGUAAAAUUUCCUACCAUUCUUUCUAGAAUUAUGUUAUUGCCUGUGCUUAUAGCCCUUAAAAUGACCAAUAUUUUUUUCAAAGUUAGCAUGUGAUUCAAGCAAUGCUUUAGAGCCAACAAGUCUAAGAUCAUGAUUUUUGAGUAGUAAUUCAUUAGUUUAUUCAGCAGUAAGAAGCACAUAAAUUAAUUCAGAUUAUGUGGCAAACCGACGUUGCUGGUAUUGCUGUUGCAAUACAAUAUUCGAAGCAUGAAAAGUGGAUAAAGUUUUCUCUAACAAUUCCGCAUCAGCGAGUUUGAUACCGCAUAACUCAAGCCGAGAAACAAUAUCAAAUAAAACGGAGUUAUAGUCAAACACUGAUUUAAAAUAUUGCAGUAUGAGAUUUUGCCAGUCAUAUUGUGCUUGAGGGAGGAUAAUAGUCUUGGUAUGAUCAUACCUAUCCUUCAACUUCAUCUACAAGAUCUGAGGGUCUCGAACGGAUAAAUAUUGAGUCUGCAGGCUCUCAUGCAAAUGACGAUGAAUAAAAAUCAGCGCAUUUGCUUUAUCUUUUGCAUUUGAGGUUCAUCCUCUGCAAUUGCAUUAGCGAGACCUUGCCAUUGAAGCUGCAUUUCCAUGUCAAGGCACCAUGAUAGAUAAUUCUUUCCACUCACUUCCAGGAGUGAUCUUGAUUGAUCCAUUUUACUAUGUUGUUAUCUCGUGAAAUAGAGUUAUGUUAUUGCUUAAUCAUAAUUUAUUUCUAGUUCAUUAGUAUAGCAGCCUGGUGAGGAUGCGCCAAUUUCGUCAACCAACCGGUCCAUAUUGGAGAAUUGGAAAGUAUUCAUGCUUGAUGGAACCCAGGAAAAUUUCUCCAAGCGUCGANNNNNNNNNNNNNNNNNNNNNNNNNNNNNNNNNNNNNNNNNNNNNNNNNNNNNNNNNNNNNNNNNNNNNNNNNNNNNNNNNNNNNNNNNNNNNNNNNNNNUCGCCCUCGUUGCCGUCGAAUGCCUCCGCUGCUAUUGCCUUCAAUCUGGCAUCAUCGCCGUCGCCGUCGCCGUCCCCAUUCGAGAGAAGGUAAAAAAAUCGUUGCCGUUACCGUUGCUGUUCAUCGUAGCUGUUUCCCGUUGACCUUGCCGCCGUCGCUGCCACCGUUGUCACCUUCGUCGUCACUGUUGCCACCGUAGUAGCCGUCACUGCCAACGCCUCGGUUCCCGUCCUCGGCGCUGCAGAUUCGCAAACCCUAGGGUUUGCAAUUUUCCGGGUCGCGAAGUGGAUCUGGACUCGGAAAACCGGGUAGGGUUUGUAAUUUGGGCACGGCAGGAAUCGGGUCGCAAUUCGGGUCGAAUUCGGGUAGGGUUUUUGCAGGGGAGCCGAGUCGUGGAGCGAGUUGUCGGAGCAGAUCGUCAAGCCAGGCCGGGUGUCCUCGAGCGCUCGACCAUGAAGCUGUUUCAUGAAAAAAAAAGAGAGAGAAAAAAUCUAAGUCGGGCCCGCAUUUUCCAAAAAAAUAUUUAAAAUAUUUAAAAAAAUUUCCGAAGAAAUAAAAAAAAUCAAAAAUAUUUCAUAUUUUCAAAAAAUGCCAAAAAUUCAUGAAAAAACCAAAAAAUUCAUAAAAAGCCAAAAAGACUUGUAUUUUCCAAAAAAUACCAAAAAAAUCCCAAAAAAAAUCCCUUUUGUGUCAAAAAAAUAGAAAAAGACCCAAAAAAAUGUUUUUCAUCCCUUAAAUUGCAUGGGAAAUCCCUUAAACAUCCAAAGAACCUUAGGAUUUAAACAAGAUUAGGUAUCGAAAGGGCACUAGUGAUUAACUAGUGUAAUCAAGUCCCUGAUCCUAAUUUCUCUAGUUGCACAAGAAUGAGUAUUUCUCCCGAUACUUCACUUGAGUUUCUAAUCAACCCACUCCAAAUCGAUUAGUGGUGACUCCAUUUUAAAAAUUGGUUUACAGGUUAAAAACUUAAACUAUUAAAGUCGUGAAUUGGUGGACUUAGGAGAGUCCAGGCAUAACUAAAUUCAGUUAAGCCAUUAGCCUCCGCCGACACUCAUACCCGAUUGCGGGCGCCGAAAAAAAAGAGGUCGCGACACAAUUUUACCCCAAAUUAAUUUUAUAAUCACCAAAAGUCCCAAACUGGUACAUUUGUAAUAAAUUUACCUUCCCUUUAUUUUUUGUUAAAUUAGAUUAAUACCACACAAAAAAAAACCCUAAAUUACUAUACUUGUGAUAAACGGAAGGUAAAACCCUAAAUUGGUACACUCGUCAACUGUCCACAUGUCAUCUAACUUAGAAAUUCAAUGGUAAAAUUUAAUGGAAACUAGGAUAAAUUUGUCAUAUGUGUUUUGUGGUAAAAAAAAAAUAGUUUUGGAUAAAUUAAUCAUUAAUAUACUAGUUUGGGAUUUUCUAUAGUAUUAAUAUAUAUAUAUAUAUAUAUAUAUAUAUAUAUAUAUAUCAUGUACUAUUCGCUAGAAGGCAAAAGAGUGUGCUCCUCCUUUUGUGAUAUUGUAGUCAAGACUUAUUGGAAGCACUCUCCAAAUAAGAUUUUGAAUCCACCAAACCAAAACGAAAGAAUGCGCUCUUAAAAUUAUUCGGAGAGGUGGAUCAUUUGAGGUGCACAAAAAUUGGCGUGGACAACAUCUAACCACUAAAAAAAAAAAAAAAAACCUUUGGUUCUCAAAACUUACUCAUAACUUUUGCCAGUAGUUGCACUUUUUUUGCCAACUUCACCCAACUUUUGUAUGCACCCAAAAUACCCAUUAGCCCUUGCCACUAAUUCUUCUAUUUUUGUGAAGCUACAAUGAAGGUGUUCAGUUUUACCUGAAGUUUAUUUGGAUUUCACCUUAUGUUAAGAGGUUGAUGACAUUUUCUGUGGAGAAUCGCCUAGAAAGGAGUUCUCAAGGUUUUUUUUUUUUUUUUAAGGUAAGCUCAAUUAAUAAAUUGGGUGAUCAGAAUUUUGAACCGCAAUUGUAUGUGUAGUGUAGUGCUAAAGCUUGUAAAAACACAUUUGAAUUUAAACAUCUAGCAUUUCAAUAUUACCCCACAUAUAUUCAAAUAUCCUUACACCACCUACAAGAUAAAGUGGUUUACAAACACGCCACCCCUUAUAACUCUCACCUACAAUACCAUUUAAUACAUGGUUAGCGACUAACCUCAUUUUCCAUGCGAUUUUAACAUGCAAGUAAUCCUACAUAGGACACAUUAGUUAACACGAUAAUUAUUUUUAACGGCUUUAAGUCUUCUUAAUCUAGUAACCUAUCCCUAGUUGAGUCAUCAAGCCUAUUACGACCCGAUCUCACCAAACAUAUUUUCAGGAAAAUGGAAGAUGAAAACAUAAUACAAUUGUCAUUAAAAUAUUUUUGUGAACCAAAUGCACCCAAAAUACGUUGAAAGAUUUGAUAGUGAUAUUUUCUUUUUAGAAAAGAGGUGUAUGUUGACACCCGAAUUUUUAGGUGUCCGUCCAUUUUUGCAACAAUAAAAAAAAAAUAGUAAUAAAGAAUGACAAAAAUAGUAAUAAAAUUCGGAUCCAGCUCAUUCUCUUCAACAAGUUUUGGGCCUGCCAAGCCCAUGCGCAUAGCCCUCCUUCUAGCGCCACUCUUUUUACUUCUUCUGGGUCCAAAUUCAUUUCUUUUCCUUCACCCACCUUUCCUUCAUUUAUUCUUUCCUGAUUCUGAGUCCAUUUUUGUUCUCUAAACGCCCGGCCCCUUUCGUUAUGUUCUUCUCCUUCGCACACGCUCACGUUGACGAGACUGUGAUGCAGAUGCGAUGACAGAAGCAAAAAGGGACGCGCGCGUGGCUUGUGAGAAGAGCACGGUGAGGCGCUGGUGUGACGGAAGAAAGGAUUCUGUUUGGUGAGGGGAGAGGACGUUCGCUUGAGGUGUGCUGGGUCAGGCCGAGAAAGAAAGGAGGCGAGGGAGAAAAAGAGAGGCUGAACCAGGGAGAGAAGGAGAGAAGGAGAGAAGGAGGAUGUUCGCAGAAUGAGAACCAGAGAGAGAGAGAGAGAGAGAGAGAGAGAGGAGCAGGAGCUGAAAAGGGAAACCGAAGAUUUUUUUUUUUUUGGAAAAUUGGCAAAAAUCUGCUGAUUUCCUUCUGUUCUGGUCCUCGACUGGCGGGAGAACAUGUUUCGCGACCAUGGGCCACCAUCUCCGUCCGUGGCUGACCGAAGGCUUGCGUGCAUUAAACUCGUUCCUCAGACGAAAAGGAAGGACACCGAUCGUCUUCUUAAGCCUCGUUGGCGAACGCUCGGUAACGGCGACUCCAUUCUUGAUCAGGCUAGCUCCUCACUUCAAAUGCUCUAACCUUUGCUCUGUUUUGCCCGAAUUUGAGACUUAGUGUUCACUAGCGAAAUCGCGAGUUACUUGUCUGAAAUUGAGGUUGAUUUGAAAUGGGUAAUGCGGAUCCCAUACUUCGAAUUGCACAUCAACUGUUCGACAAAAUGCUUGAAUGAAACACCGAAAUCCAUUCCAUCAAAUCGAUGCUUUGAAGUUUUAUAGUUUGACGUUUGAUUGUUCUGAGAUUGUUGAACUACGUCUGAUGUCGUGCUUUUCUCCAUGCUUUCCUUCGAUUUCACGGCACAUCCAUGCUUUUUUCGAGUCGCCCAUGGAGGAAAACCUUGCCGGAAAUACUUUUUCCUCUGCCAGAGAAUGCCUGCGGUUAAGGGCCGCUACAGCUAGGUCCCUAGUGCUUUGCUUCGAUGUGCAUAUAUGUGUUGGUUCUCUAGAAUAGAUUUAGUUUGAAGUGCAUGUGAAUGGCGCCAAACAGGUUCGAUGAUGGCCCGAGAGAUGACCCGGCAGUGACGACCUAGUGACAGUUGGUGAGGUUGGCCGCUGACGUCAGAUUGGUUGAGAUUUCGAAGUGUGCUCGUGCGGUGAGUGUUGAGUUCGUCCAUGGAGAAGCUUCCGUCAACGGGUUGUAGGGAAAAAGACGUCGCUUGAACAAGACAGCGCAGGUGGAAAAAAGAAAAGAAAUAAGAAACUAGAAAAUGAAAAAAAGAAGUAAAAAGUUGGUCAACUCUAAUUUUGACCGGAUCAAAUUCGGAUAAUCAAACUGGGUCGGGUCAGAUUAUAAGACGAAGGUUGGGCCGAUUGAAUGAACUAAGUACAGAUUCGGGGUUACCCUUAUGGUGAAUUGGGGUUGGUUUAGAUGAAAUAGAAGUUGGGCCUGAUUUAGGUUUAGUUGGACUUGGGCUGAAGAGAAAUUGGGUUUGAAUUACAGCAAUAGUUCAAGCCCAGCAGAUCGACCCAUAUUUGGAUUAGGCCCGGGGCCGAUCCGAAUUGCAAGCUCCAUCCCCGACCCCAGGGUCUGGGUUAGACCCAUACCCGGGCCGGUUCCCCGACCCGGUCCGAAGUCCCUUUUUAAUAUUUCAUAAAAAUUUCAUAAAACUCAUAAAAAAAACCAAAAUUGAAUAAACCUUUAGAGCUUUAUAAUAAGGAUUUUUGUAUGCCUUUAGUUAGAGACAAUAUCAAGUUGUCUAUGUGUUUACUUCGAUUGCACUUGAUUGUGCACUUUAAUAUUAUGAGCGUUAUUUUCAUUUUUAGAAUUGUUAGGAUGAACUCGAAAAGUCUUGGAUAGGCUUCCUAGCAUUUUAGUUGGUAUGUAAUCAAGUUUAGGUACCAAAAGACCAUUACUUUUAAAACUAAUGUAAUCAAGUCCCCGUUUCCAAGAUCUCUGGUUGCAUGAAAAAUGAGAUAUUCUUACAUAUCUCACUUGGUUUUUAAUCGACUUAAAUAGGUUAGUGGCAACUCAUUGUGUAGAAAUUCACAUAGGAUUAGUUAAAUAAAAAAAUCGAAUAUAUAAUGUUACAUGGGUAUGAACUUGAGAGAGUCCACGUUUAUGAUUGAUGAGUCGUUUGCAAUGUUAGCAAAUGAUGAUCCAUCCGAGAUCAUCAUUUGUAUGAACCAAUCGACUCAUCUCAUGAGCAAGUACCUCUAAACAUAUUUCUCCCUUGGUAGGUCACGAUAGUGUAAUGAUAUGUGUUUACAAUCAAGAGGCGAAAAGGUUGAUUCGACAAUGUUGGCACUCAUUUGGCGUGUUCUAAAGUGACCUUGUAAGACAUUGAAGCACUACAAAAUUAUACAUGAUUUUCUAUGUCAAUAUCUGCAUAUUUUGAAAGGUUUCGGGUAUUCACAAAGUUCUAAUUGCAAGAAUAUGGGAAAUUAUUUAUUAAAAAAAAAAAUUAACGAGAGAAUCACCUAGGAAACCGUCUAGGUAAAGGCUAAUUGACUAAGAUUUAUGUUAACCUAGGAGUUUCUCCUUCAAUCUUGAUUGGUGAAAUCGUGUUAGCUUAAUCAUCUCUAUCUAGCAUCUAAAUUUUUCUGAAAAAUAUUAGAACAAUGAAAACAUAUGUAGUGGUACUUCGUCGGUUUUGGAUUCCGCAACGAAAUAUCUUUCAUCAAAUGUUAUAUUUUGAUUUUUAUUUGAGGGGACUUAGGUUCUAUGCUAGUAUUGGACAGAAAUGGUCAUAUAGUAACAUAUAUGUGUGUGUGUGUGUGUGUGUGUGUGUGUAUAGAUUAUAUGGUUCUAAAUUUAAUGGAGUCACUUAAUACAAGCUUAAAAUUAAUGGUAACUAAUGUCGAAAUAUAAUCAACUAUUUGAUCCAAACUCAUUACGACAUACUAAUGAAAGCCCAUUAAAAUCAAAAUGGUUUGUACAAUAUUGAAGCUGAUUCGACAACAUUGGACAUUGAAAACAAUACCAAGAAGGCACUGCUCUUAAUUGGACUCGAGAACAUAACGUCAAAACUUAAUCGACAAUGCUGGAUAGUGGAAACAACACCUAGUGAAUACUGCUCCUAAAUAGAUAUGAGGACAUAACGUCGGAAGCUAAUCGAUGACGCUAAAUAGUAGGACAGUAUUGGAAUAUAAUCAACAGCACUAUCUUGGAUAUAGACACUCAUUGGAAUCGAAUAUAUAAAGGGAAUCUGAAGCUGUAGCUAAACUAAAUUAGGCUAAGAUAACUAAAAGGGUAAGACAAAGGAACUUUGUGUGUUGUUUAGGGGGGCACUAUGUUGGAUUGCAUGCGGUAUUUAUAGGCCAAUUUGGUAACUGUCGGUAGUUGAUUGCUUCCUCCUUGAAAGUUGUUCAACGUUCUUUGCUCAACUACUUUAUCCAUAUCUUGUUGUCUUUUGACUUGUUCGACAAUGCUUAGAUGACUUGCUCAACAAGUAUUAACCGCUCCUUUGGUUUUGCACUCCCUUUUAAUCAACCAUUCCUAUCUAAAUCUUGAUGCCAAUUCCAUAUGAAUCCUUUGUCUUCGGUAGCAUCUCUUGACUUGGACAUGUGGCAAUCAACUAUUUUAUCAUCGAAUGGCAUAUCUCCACUUGUACAUCUAUCGAAAUCUAGCCCAAAGGCUUUUGAAAUCCUUGGUCAUCCUUUGUUUCCAUGACUAACAUAGGCUAAAGUUGAUGUUAAUCACAGCCCACACGUGACGAUGAGAAUGAUUUUGAAUGUUUUUAUUUCUCGUGACCAGCACAUGACAAUAAGGUGUCAAUAACUGAUUACCUUUCUUAUGUGUGAAAUGCUUAAGCCUAAAAAUUAUUUUCGUUGACUGUUACUGAGAGGGUGCGGAAAUUGGGCAUGGGACCGGGGGAUCAAUCAUUGACUAUUCUCGCCACAUCACCCAUAAGAUAACGGCGCAAUAGAUGAGAUGCACAGGCGUACGGUUAUCAAUUAAAAGCAUUUAACAUGGUAAAAUUACACUUUACUUGGCAACUUCGAAAAGGCGUGGAGAGUAGGAAAAUGGGGGAGAAAGCAGGUAGGAAAGUCAAAAUAAUUUAUUUGGGAGGGCACCGAAUAGAAGAAGAUUUUAGUGAGAGCAAAUUUCUUGGCCCAAAAUCGUGCAUUUUGGAAUUCCACCCCAAACGAUACACGCACACACCAACAAGGCAUUGGCUAGAUGUUAAAAGAGUUUGCUCCUCUUCCUAUGAUCUUUUAUUUAAGACUUACUGGGAGCACUUUAAAAAAGAGGUUUUGAAUCCACAAGACCGAAAUGAACGAGUGCGUUCUUAAGAUUAUUUAAAGAGGUGGAUCACUUGAGGUGCACAAAAAUUGGCGUGGACACCAUCUAACCACUAAAAAAAAUGAAUGAUUCCCAAAACUUAUUCACAACUUUUGCCGGCAAUUGCACUCACCUUUUCAUCUUCACCCAACUUUUGUAUGCACACGAUAUACGCAUUAGCCCUUGCACCUAAUCCUUUUAUUUUGGUCAAGCUAGAAUGAAGGGAAUCAAUGAACUCGUGAAGCUUUGUAUUCAGUUUACCCGGAGCUUAUUUGGAUUUCGCAUUACGGUAGGAGGUUGAUGACACUUGUCGUGGAGAAUCACCAAGAAAGGAACUCUCAAACGCUCUUUGAAGGUGCAACUAAUGAGUUCUCAUUAGUUUCUAGCGAAAAAAAAAACAGUAGUUCAAGCGCCUACAACAGAAGAAUUGGCCAGGAUGAUGCUUGCAGCAGCAAAGUACAAUCCUAAGUUCGAUGUUGUAACUACUGUCUCCAGAGCAACUAUUCAAAUGCAAAGAGCUCUCGAUUGGUUAAGAGUAAGUAUCUUUGUUUUCAUAUAUGUAAUAACGGCACUUACUAAUAGUUAUCAUAUUUUCUAGACAAUUUUUUCGAAGUAUGAUGGCUAGGUUAGGGACACCAUAAGUGUCAUAACUUUUUUUAUAAAGUUCAUUUGAGUGCCAUAACUUUUUUUUCUUCAUUCAAUCACUUGAGCAUCAUGACUAUUGAGUGUCAUGACUUCUUAAAAACAUUCGUUUGAGUGUUAUAACUUUAGUUAGAACUUUUAGAAAAUGUUUACCACUGGUGCCAUGCUAUGUCGGAUUUUUGGCACAGAAGGUGAACAUUUUUUAAAAUGGUCAUGGCACUCGAAUGAACGUUUUAUUAGAAUUUACGACACCCAAGUGAUUGUCAAAAAAGUUAUAAUAUUCAAGUGAAUGUUUUUUUUUUUUUUUUGAAGUCAUGGUACUUAAAAAAUCGAAAAAAAAAUUAUGCCACUGAGAUAAGCAUCAUACAAAAGUUAAGACACUUAAGGUAUUCUUUUUCCUAAAAUUAUAGGUAAUAAGAUUUACUCCAACAAAUAUAAUUUCGAGAUAAAUUCUUUGGAGUGGUAUCAAUCACAUGACAAGUAAAUCUAUUAGCUAUGACAAAAUCUGUACACGGGAAAGUCCUGGGAAGAAGAGGAUACACUCACGGCUAAUUUGAUUGUUCAUUUAAUAUCAAACAUCAAAUGUGUGCGGCAAAAAAGGGGAAAAUGUAAAUAACAAGCAUCUCGGUAGAAAAAGAUAUAUUUAAAGAGACAUAUAUUCUAAAGAAUCCUCAACGGCAGAUUCACAAUUUCUCUAUGCAGGCAAGGAGACGUAAUUGAGUCGAUGAAGCAGCGCAAGCUUGACCUAGCAUGCAUACUCAUUACUCGAAGCACGACUCAAAUUUGAUCAAGCAUUAAAAAUUCUGCUCGAAAUCAACUCCAAUAGAAAAUCAAAAAAUUUGAGCUCCACUCGACUUGAAUAGAUAUGUAUUAAUUAUCAUAUUUAUGGUGAUCCUAAUGGUUACUGGCGCCAAGAAGCUGAUCCUCAAGGAUUAUAGAACUGUCGUAAGAUUUAAUACCCGAUAUAGAAAAAGGAGGAGGAACUGGAUUCCAAAAUGAAGAGCCGGAGACAAGGAGUACCGGAGAGGAAUUUGAAAUAACCCCUUAAAAUUAUAUCAAAGCACAUUCUACUAGAAUAAAUGUUAUGCUGUGCAAUUUCAGGAAUGAUAACCAUUGGGGGUUCGCCUCAGUGGCCACCCUUCCAACUUGAAAGGGGGAGGUAGGAGGUUCAAAUCCCCAUCUUCUCAGGAGGGAUUGGGGUGGGGACGAUUUCAUUUCGGGAGUGGGUUUCAACUCCCACGCCCUGCAAGGAGGCAGAGCAAAAGUCUGAGAGUGAGUAGUAGAGUAGGAUUAUAGUAGAACCGACAAAAAAUUUCAGGAAUGAUAUCAUCGGUUAACUGACCGAAGUUUUUUUCUUUGUCAUAUCUAGAGCUUGCCACUGAUUAUUCACUUCACUUAGAUAUACUUCGCCAUCGAACAAGAAUCAUGUUGUGCAGAAAAAAAGAUUUGGACCUUCAAAAUAUGAGGUAUAAAAUAUAUAUUGUUAAUCGAUUUAUUCGAUUCCAUAUACAAAUCAGAUAAAUGGAAAUGUUGGUCUUUUUUAAUGGCCAGCGAGGAUUAUUGAUUAUAUUUAACACAAGGUCAUACUCCGUUGGAACUUGGAUCUAACUGGUGUUCACAGGCGUGACUUCAGUGGUCAAUGGAUAGGUUCAGUCUAAGCACCCAGACACAGACAAAGUUCUACUUUUCUCGUAUGAGAGGGGCUAUCAAACAUUAAAUAAUAGCUUGAUUUUUUCCAAUAAUUUUAAGCCCAUGGCCGGGUCAACUUCUAAUAGGGUGGUCCAGGUUAUUGAGAUGGGCCUUUAAGCUUAAUCCCACGCAGCUCUUGUUUCUUGAGCUGGGGUAAAUCAGUAAGUUUUGUGGAGAGUGCAAACCAUUUGGCCUGUGAUUUGAAAUUCAGUCAUGGAUUGCAAUGUACUUCCUAGAAAACUUGAUCAAAUUUAAGUUAUAUGAGGAGUAUGGUACCGCAGAUCUCUCUUCUGUUGUUGCCCUGAUGUCUGAUCAAAGGAGGCCAACGAAGGACAACCUUAGGGAUUCGUGAUUUAUUAAUCAUAACUUGAUCACAAGUGAUUAAUCCAUUGAUUCAAAAUGAAAUUUUAUAUCAACUCGUUUCUAGCACAUUCGGAAUGUCAAUGCACACGGCUCAAUUGGACCCAAAGUCAUGUACACAAACCACACUGGCUUUAGGCCAUAAUUUAUUAGAGCCACAAGAAUGCAAUUUGAUGCUUGGAGUGUGUGGUGGUUUUUUUUUUUUUGGGAGGGGGGGGGGGGUGGGGCGCUUAACAAAGGCAAGCCAAAAGCAACACAAAACAUCCAAGUGUAUUAUCUGUGUAUGCAUACAUUGAAAUCAAGAUAGUGAACUAAGACCUACUUUGCCUCAAGUUCAUGUCGGAUUUGGCAAGAACUCAAUGAAUUGACCCUUCUUGAUGGUCCCCCCUAAAGUUCUCCCCUUUCACUAAUUCGAUCUUUCUCUUACUAAUGUUCUUCAAUUAAUCUAGACUUAUCCUCUACUAUAACAAUCGAAACAUCAUCAUUUUGCCAUAAAUUUUCCUUUUUGUUCUUGGCGAAAAUGAUAUAACAAAAGAGACAAGGCGUAUAAAUGUUGUUUUGUUUUUUUGCGGAGCAUGUGUUAGUUAUUGCAAACAAACAUAUGGAACAAUGGUCCACCAUAUAUUGCGGGAAAUUGGGUAUUAGAGUAUGGUGCUUUGAUGUGGCCCAUCUACAUCCACGUGUGAUAAAUUCAUAAUAUAAUGCCAAACUGGGGCUAGGUGAAAAUGCGUAAUUUAACCCUUUUUCGUUCUAUUGCUAAUAAAUUCAUAAUAUAAUGCCAAACUGGGGCAAGGUGAAAAUGUGUAAUUUAACCCUUUUUCGUUCUAUUGCUGAUAAAUUCAUAAUAUAAUGCCAAAUUGGGGCUAGGUGAAAAUGCAUAAUUUAACCCUUUUUUCGUUAUAUUUCUGAGACAUCAGAAGCUAUAUGUGCAAUACCCAAGAUGAUAUUCAAAGGGAUUUAUUCAUCUGAAAAUUCAAUAUGAUAUUGUCAACUUAAUAAGAAAAUAUUAAUAAGUAAAAAUUUUAGAAAUUUGGCAUUCCUCAAAAGUUAAUAUGAAGAGAUUUUUUUUUUCCAAUGGCACAUGAAAAUAUUUCCCGUAAUUGACUAUGACAAUACCACCUAUAAGAAUCACGGAGAGAUUUUGAAAUGCUUUAGGAUCACAACACAUAUGCGUUCAUCCAAAUUAAGCGUUAUUGAUCAUCUUGUUUUUUCUUUCAAAUUAGUGCGCAUGGUUUGAGUGGAUUGAUUUGCAACCAUCAUGUUUAAUAUGUAUGAUCAAUUAAAUCUUGCACUGAUAGGCUAGAACCUAAGUAUAUCCCCAACCAAAAUUCAAAGUAACAAUUGGGUAAACUAAACUAUGUUAGUGUGAAAUUUAACAUUUUUUGGGUUAAUUGAGUUAAUCAUUUUUUUUUCUAAUAACCACACACUCUAAGCUUUUGAGUGGCUUAGUUAAACAAUGUAAAAUAUUUUCCCAAGCAAUCAUUAUUGGAGAAUGACGAUUUGUCUGGCCUGUUGGCGCUAAUUAUAAUUGUCCUUUUAAACUUCUCAACAAAAAACAGUAAAAUUGCCAAUUUUUUUUUCUUGGUCAUUAGCAUCUCACCUUACAUUUCUACGGCCAAUGUGAGGAUCUCGUGUGAUCACCACCACAUCAUCACUUUGCAUAGAGUCAUAAUAAUAUAAAUCAUCUUUCUUUUUUAAAGCCAACACAGCAUGAACUAAGACAUUAAAUUAAUUCUUAAACACUAGGGCUUGUGGAUCCAUUGAAUCAUUCUAUCUUUUCACCAUCUCGCCCCACCUCCUUUUUGAUAUAAACCCGUUUUUCUAUUCGGUCAUAUUAUUAUUAUGUAAUCUGAGAUACUUAUUUAAAAAGUCCUAAUUUUAUUGUAUAGUGACCAGUUUAGGUCCUAACUUUUUAAUUGUACUAAUUUAAUCCUAAAUCUUUACAUAAAUUGUCAAUAUAGUCAUUUUAACCAAUUUUGAUAAAAAAAAAAUCACUAACUGAUUUAAAAAAAAAAUUCUAAAAUUUUUAUGAUUUCCUUUUUUUCUCAUUGUUUCCUUUUUUCUCCCUGUUCUUUUCAUUUUGCCUAUGACCAAUACUUGGCCAUGGUCAGUAACCUACCACAAGCUAGUUACCCUAGCUUGCACAAUGUGUGGCUGACAAGAGCCAUGAUGCCCUCACUCAGCAAGGGUGUUGUAGCCCUUGUCCCAUCUAGAAUGGCUGACCAUCCCCCAUGCAAGUCCAGCCCUCACCUGUGGCCGAUCAUCGGCCACAAGCCAAAAAAAAAAGGAAAAAAGGAAAAAUUCACAACAAGUUUUUUUUUUUUUUAAAAAAAAAUCCAAACAUUAUGCACAUUAGCGCCAAUUGGCCACAUAGGAUGGUUGACUAGAUCGCCACCUUAGCAAUUUUUGGCCAAAAAUUGGUGGGAAUGACUAUGCUAAGAAAUUAUCAAAAGGUUUGGGACUUAAUUGACAUAAUUACAAGAUUUAGUAAUGAAUUCACUGCCAUACAAUAUGUUUAAAACUUUUUGGAUAAUUUUCCUAUAUAAUUGAUUUUCGCGUUGCUCAUUUAUAUAUAAAGAUAAAAUUCAUAUACCCUAAGGGACACCUUUUGAGAAAAUAAAGUCUAAAAGUAGAAGGCUAGUUCCUUGGGCACUUGAUGCUAAAAAUUAUAGCGAAGGUCAUAUGAAUUAACUAAAUAUAUAUUUCAAUUAUAACUUAUUGAUUCCUUACAUCAUCAAUUGAAAUGGUGCGAGUAUUCGUUUGAAAGACAAUCCUUUUCAACCUUAAUAAAAGUUAAAAGAAAAAAAAUAAAGCUUCGAAAGGUUUAUAUUUGUGGAACUAUAUAUCCAAGUCCAUCAUGCAUUGAAAAGUAGAAACUAGGGGAAAGUACACUAAAAAUGUCAAAAGUUAUGUACGACGCUCACUUUGAUACCAAAAGUUUAUUUUGGAUCACUUAAGUGCUAAAAAUUUUGAAAAACAAUUAUUUAAGUGCUAAUGCCAAUCUGAUUGACCGAAAAUCCAGCACUUUUUUUUUAUUAAUUUUAAAGCCAACGUGGCUUAACGGAGAGUAUAGUCAGUAUGCAAACAACAAAAUGAUGCCAUUUGGCGCUUUUCCCUAAUCGGCCAAUUUGAGUACCGACUUUGAUUUUCCCUCAAAAUUAUUAACUUGAUCUUACAAAUAGAGGGCGGAAGCUUUAGUAGUGGCUCACAUUCGUUCCAAAAAAGUGAAUUAGAUAGUGACUGUUAUUGUUAUUGCGGGUUACCAAGUUUGAGAAGAACAUCUUAGACUUGGUUGAAUCCUCGAAGAAGAUUCCAUGGGUGCGAUAGGUCUAGAGAAGGCUCAAAGUGCAAAUAUUUCAAAUGGUUUGACGCGAAAUUCGAGUGACAGAGGUGAUUUUGGAGCUACUUAAAGGCCAACAUCAACCUCCAGCUACAUUAAUGGAUGACUUGGAGGAUUUCGACUCAGUACAAGCUCAAAUGAAGGGUUUAACAUCUCUAGUCGACCAUUUGAAGAAUGACGUUUCAAGGCUGAAAAUUGAAAGAAACUUUUACUGGGCAUUGAUUGUGUUGUUGUUCUCUUGUAUAGUCUAUUCAAAUGUGAAGUGAGUAAUGAAAAGAAAUUUGUAUUUCUACCAUAGUCGAAGAUGUGGAAUAUAUACUUGUAUCGGGUUAUUUAUAUGUAAAGUGUGUUAUUGAUUUGCCGCAAAUUUUGAUGGAACAAGAUUUUUUGUUGUGAUCUAUAGUGAAUAUGUAAGGUUGGAGUUGAAAUUCAUUGGUUGUGAGCACUCAAAGGUUUUUUUUUUCCUUAGUUGUGUAUUGUUAAUGUUAGUUUGUUUUGCUUAGUUUUUGCUUCAGAUGUAAUGGUUUACUGCAUUUUUUGUUUGGUAAUGGUUUGUUAGUUUGCUAUAACUAUUACUACAAGCCAUGACAAAAUUAAGGGGUGGUAACAAAUUCACGAUUGACUAUUCCAGUGUCAUAAGUUCUAAUUUAUUGUACAAUGAAUGAUUAAAUAGAAUAGUCAAAAUUUAGGUAUCGACAUUGUAUGAAUCAUGUGUCACAUAAAUCUAUGAGAUAUGAUAAGAAAUGUACAUGGGAAAGUCUUUGGGAGAAGAGAAUACGCUGACAGCUAAUUUGAUUGUUCAUUAAAAUACCAAGCAUCACAUAUGUGGCAAACAAGGGGCGCAAAGCUCCAAAUAAUAAGCAUCUCGAUAGCAAAGAAUAUUUAAAGGGACACACACUACAAAGAAUCCCAAAAGGCUGCUUCACAAUUUAUGUAGUCGAUAUAGUAUGCAGCUCAAGGUUGACUUGACAUGCAUACUUGGUACCUAAAACAUGACUCAAAUGUGAUCAAGCAUUAAAAAUCAUACUCGAUUUCAACUGGAAUGGAAAAGCGAAAAUUUUGAACUCGACUCAACGUGAAUAGAUAACAAUGAAAUUAUAAAUGAGUCCAACCAUGAGUUUAAAAAGCUUGACUAUUUUUACAUGCACUUGACAGCAUACAUUAAAUGUUAGUAUAAAUAUGGCUGAUGUCGCACUUCAAAAGUCUCUAAACAUGAGUAAACACCAUGAUAGUCACAUUUCACACAUAGUAACAAGUGCAAACAAAGAUCACAUUGCAGAUGUCCUUCUCCAAUAAUAGCAUAGAUCAUUUCCAAAGCUUCAGGGGACGGUAGAGGUGAGGUCGAAAGGUGGAUCCCACCAUUUCAACAUAUAAGGGAAGUUGUAGGAUUGCGAACAAAAUGAUGGGGAUGGCAGCCAACAAUGUAAUUGGGAUGUAAAUCCACUUCAAUCGUUCACUCAAGACAAUCAUAAGAGCAGAGCCAAAUGCCACCAACAUAAAAGCCAAUGAGAGGAAGAGAAAAGUGAGGCCCAAUAUCAUUUUUCUUGGUAGUGAGUAGAGGAAAUCUUCGCUCGCGUAGCGUGAAGUUAGAAUGGCCAAGAACAUCAAUGUGGCAGUGACAGAGGAGAAGAGAGCAAGAGCAUUUGCAACGACGAAUACCAUGAAUGAGCCCUUGUUCAGAAAUAUUGGGAUCCCCUUACUACCGUCGUUGCCUCCAAGCACCGUAAAAGUUGCAGCAAAAGCUACUGUAAUAAUUAGAGUUGCAACAAGGCUACAAGAUGAUGAUGUAUCCUUCAUCCAUUGCCCUGCAUCUUUGAGCAAUCCUUCGCGCUGUUCUACAAACUUUUCCCAGUAUGACUUUUUAUUUUCUAUAUAUGUCUGCCAUUUAGAAGAAAAAAAUCCUCUAAAUUCCACUGCCUUCAAAAAAAAAAAAAGGACACCUAUCAAUGUAAACAUCAAUAAAAAGCACAAAAGGGGUAAACAAAUGAGGAUCACUCACUUGAAACCAUUGAAGUUCCCUCUGCAUAAGAAAAGCCGCUCCAGAAACAUCAGGGGACACACAUCUCGAAGACCAUUUGGUUACAGCCUCCAUCAGGUCAAAGUCCAUGUAAUUAUCUUCAGCCAAAUAUCGAAUUGGGUAGUUUUCGUUCACCAGUCUAAACAACUCAAUAUGCCGUCCCUCCACAACUUUUAUGAUCAGUUUUUUUGCGAAAUUGGUAUCCCACAUCAACUCCGGAAAAUAUUUAAGACAUAAAUCCACAAUUUCAAAGACUCCGCGAGAUGCAGCAUCAAGGACAACGCCUGAAGUUAAUAUAUACUCCAGUAUUUCGGGAGUACUUGUACCAUUCUUUAUCUCGGUAAGAGCUUGUUUUGCAAACUCAAGCGAGUAAUAGUGCCUCAACUUCGAUUCUCCACUUCUUUUGAUGAAAGGUGCUGCAAGUAACAUCAGAGAAGCAAAUUUUCCAAUGAUGAAGAAUCCAAAGGUUAAAGAAGCUUUCACAUUUGCACUAUAUUCUUAUGUAUAUUUAGUAGCUCAGAGAAAAGAAAAUAUUAAUUGAGAAAAUAAACUUGAUGGCUUGGCAAUCAAAAUGCAGGCAUCAGAACAUAUAGAUCUAUUGAUGAACACACACAAUGUCAUAUGAGAAAAAAAAGUGUUCCUUUUUUCUUUUUUUCUUUUUUUGGGAGAAGGGGUAGAUUCAGCGAGGAUCGAUAGAUAUGGUUUCCAUUGAAUAUCUUUGUAGAUUCACCUAAUGGAUAUAUGUAGUUCAAACGUUGAAUUAAAUUGAUUAGAAUAAUAUCUUAUCGUAAUGUACGAAUGAUGAGCCAGUCUAUAUUUAUUACUAUGAUCUCAAAGGGAUGUACUGAUAGUAUCAAUAAUACACUUUAAAUUUAGAGAUUACUGUUUUUUUUUUUUGUUUGCAUAACAUGGCAAUAUCGUAUACCUGGUAUUGUGGCAAGAUUCCAUAGUGAUAUCUUGAUCCAAUGAAGUGCUUUUAGUACUACCAUCACAAAGAGGAGAUAAUAAAUCAUGUCAGGAAAUUAGGAAUUGAUGAUGAACAAAAAGAUACAUAGAACAAUCAUGAAUUGAAAAUUGCUCAUGCUUUAUAAUGCUUGAUUAUGUUUAAAAAACAACUCGUAUCAAUCAAUCUCCAUGACCUGAAAUCCAAAAUCUACAAUUCUCAGUAAGCCUGCUUGGCAAUUCGACAAUGACUAAGACUUCUCCACUAGCAUUUCAAAUGUUACAUUAGAUAUUAAUUUGUGACAUAAAUCAUCGUUAAGAUAUUAGUUUGUAUACAUCGAUGCAGUCCUUGUUCCUGAACUUUUUUGUAAAGUAGGAUCCCUGAAUGAUAUGCUCUUUUUUUUUCUUUUUUCUUUUUUUUGUGUUAGUCCAUCCACUAAACAGAUCAAUAAAAAUACCUCGAGCCAUUUUUGUGUCCUCGGAGUCGUCAAAUGAUGUAUUGACCAAGCAGAGAGGGAUAACUGAAAAUGGGAACAAAUAGAGUGAACGCUAUGUGGAUGGAGUUGCUUGAAUUGCACGUAUCCAACAAAAGAAGCGCAGUGAAUACCUACUUUUGUAAAUACAUUUUUCCCAAAAAUUGAGUUGAUCUCCAUUACGGAAGUGAAAAGGAAUUAUCGCCAAGUAAUCCAAACAGCCCACGCCAUCAGUUCCCUUGGAUGUCGUUAAGCCAGGGUAUUUGCGAGCUAAAUAUAAGCAUAUGUCUUUUGGGAUGCAAGAAUAAAAAAGUUAAUUCAAGAAAAUAUGAGAUAAGAUGAGUCGGUGUGAAAUCCUACCCAAAUGGCCAGCUAUAAUAAGAUGAGUCAGUGUGAAAUCCUACCGAAAUAGCCGCUAUCGAUAAGGCCGAACAUCGUGUCAGAAGAUGGGGCGCAUGUUGAACGCCUGGCCAAGUACCAGAUGGCCUCCUUAUAUUGCGAAGGAGCAAAAUAAGUAGCAAGGUUUAGGGCAGUCUCUCUAAUAUCAGGUCUGGCAUCAGCUUUGUCUAUUAACGCCUUUACCAUCUUUAAUCUUCCUCCCUGAGCAGCAUAGUGAAGGGCUCUAUUAGGAUUGAGAUCUUCAUAAACCCGAGGAAAUCGCUUGACCAGGUUCUCAACCAACUGAUCUUGUGUGGCCAUAAUCGCAAUAUCAAGCACAGUAAAAGACUCAUUUCCUAUAGUCAUAAUUUUGGCCGUCAAUGAUGCAUGAUUUUUAUUGAGGAUUUUCUUGAUAGUUUUCCAAUCACCUCUCAGUGCUGCAUCAAAGAGUGAUCGAUGGUUCUCAUUCUCAUUGACGACCGCUCUUGGUUGGACUGCAAAAAUGGCACAUAAAAAAUUCAUCAGCCUUUCGUAAUUUUUUAUUUUCAGAUCAAGUGUAAUCAUAUCACUUGCUCAAAGUUUCGAUAAAACAUGGAUGCAAGUGAAGAGGUGGUGGUUUACUCAACGGACCUUUUCACCUUCCUUACUCUUUGCAAGCAAAAAGGUAUUUUUUAUUUGGGUUGUCCGAAUUGUUAUUCAAGAUAUUAUUCGGAUUUUAAAAAUAAUGAAAAAAUGAUAUUCAGCAUGUUGAUAUAUCCUGUGUCACUUGAUUAUGAAAUUUAUAUACUUUAUAUAUAUGUUCUCCCUCCAACUAUUAGCUUGAGGUUUAUGAUUGAACUUUCUUACACGAUAUCAAAGAUAGGGUUUGUACUAGUUAAUUUGGCGCAUGUGUCCACCCCAUUGGUCAAAUUACCUUCUCUAACAAUUUGUCUGCUGUGAAAUAAAAAUGUUUUGGAUUAAAUAAAUCAGUACAUGAAACAUAAGAUUUAUAAAAUAUGAAAAUUAAAAGUGUAAAGUGACAAACCUUUAGAAUUUAAUAGAUUCCAGGCCUUUUGUUGCCGCCACCUCGGAUAGUCUUCCACAGGAUUUGUCAUGUCUUCAUAACUUCCUUCUUCUUCUUUUUCUUUUUUUCUUUUUUUAAUUUUUGGUCGGUCAUAACUUCCUUCUUCGUUACCAAAAGAAAAAUGAACAUAAAUAACCUUGAAAACAUGACUCCUAUCAUGCUCAUUCAUUGCAUGGAAGUUUAUGUACUGAACUUAGAUGAAAUACUUUUAAAUAAAUAAAACUUUAAAGUUAAAAUAAUAGACAUCGUAAGUUUUUUUCGAGAUAGGCAUUGUAUCAUAAAUUAGUUUCGUGGGACCUUCUAACUUUCAUAUCUUGGACAAUUUGUUUUUUAGUUAGUUUUUAUGUCUCAUUGCCAUUGAUAUUGUCCACAAUACCAUUCAUAAAUUGUGACUGUAUUCUUUUACUCUUUGCAAGUAAAAGAAUAUUUAUUUUUGGGCUUUCUCAAUUAUAAUUCAAGAUAUUAUUCAAAAUUUAAAAAUUAAGAUAAUACUAUACUUGAAUUUAUAUGCCAGCAUUUGUAUACUAUGAAAUUUAGGGAAAAUUUCAAAUAAAGACCUGAAGUGCCCUCAUUUUUUUUUUUAAUAAGGGCCUAAAGUGGACAUUAUUUUAAAUAAGGACUCGAAGUAUUCUCAUUUUCUUAAAUAAUGGCCUACAAUGAAUCUUGUUUCAAACAAGAGCCUAAAAUAGCCAUAUUAGUCUCAAAGAAGGGCCUCAACUCACUAUUUGAUAAAGGCAAUAUUGUCUUUUAAAAUUUUUCUUUUUUUUCCAUAGAAAACAAACUAAACAAAUUUUAAAAAAAAAAAAAGAUAAAAGAAUAGAGACGGGAGGGAGGGCUCCCUUUUGCCUAGGGCCACCACCCUAUCGCUGGUGGGGCAGUGGUGAUGGCCAACAGGGUCGUUAGCACCUGGGCGAGAGUCGACGGCCCUCGUCCAACACCCUCGGACCUCGCCUUAGAUCUGAGGGUGCUAGGUGUGACAUCCUGAUUUUUAGGUUUUAUUUUUGAUUAAAUAAGUUGAACUUUUCAUCGACGCUCCUAUAGUUAUUUUCUCUAAGUUGGCCACUCACAAGAUAACUUGCCUAUCAGGUGAAGCCAUUAAAAGAUUUUAAUGCGAUAGACUUGAGAAUUCAAUCGAGAAUCAACUACUCAACCAUGCUAAUCUACAAUGGUAAUUACGGCAUUGUCAAAACUGAUCAAAUAUCAGAGAUAGAUCGAUUCGACUGAGAUGUGUGAUCAAAGUGUGGGUGAUUCUACCUGAUAUCAAAAUUCUUGUUGAUCAACACUAGAUCGAUUUUUCUGUCAUUUUGGAUACCAUGUGCCCGUAUUUGAAACAUUGAGAUUUUCAUGACAAUCGAGAGUCACAAAUGUGUCGAAGAUGUACAUUGUGGCUCGAAAUAAAUAGACCACAGGUCAAUUGCAUCAAAAAUUCCAGAAAGCUACCCAGUCAGCUAGGUCACGCUAAAAUCGCGCCAGAUUGAAAUUAACCGCGAAUUCGAAUCCUAUUUCAAAAUUUAAAAGUUUUUUUGAUGUCAUGAGUCAUUUUAGGAUUGUCGACUCAUCCUCCAAAGAUUUUUUUUUGCAAAUCGAGAUUUUUGGCAGAAUUUCAUUAGAGGGUCGUUUUCGACUGGAAAAUUGAGGGGACCGUCUUUUAUCGCAUUUUUUGGGAUGCAAGUUAGUUCUAUUGGCAAUGAAAAAUGUCAAUUUGAUCGAGGACAUCUUGGUGGAAUUUAUAGGGACCGAUUUAAGUCCAAUUGAAGAGAAAUUGGUUCAAUUUGGGAGAGUUUGUGCCUAAAUUCGUACGCCAUGGCCACCACCACCUUUGGACCACUUCAAUGACUUCCUAAGGAAGCUUGUGGGCUGCUAUUUGGCUGAGGAUAGGGUAGACAAGGUGGGGGGGCAUCUAAUGAUCAAGAAAGAAGAUAUUUGUGGUCAAAUGGUACCCCCAAGGCUUCUGCAGUCUUCUUCUCCCUCAACCAGCCUCCUUUAUCCAUUGUUGAUCAAGAUUUGAGCUCCAAAAACCAGAGAGAAACCGAAGAGAGUCCCCCCUUUCCCGUCGACGCCCCUGCCGUCCAACGCCAUCCAGCACCAUCACUUGCUUGUUGUGCCGCCUACGAGCCAAGCCAACAUCGUCCACCUCCCUGCUUGCGUCCGCUAAUCCCCACGCCCCUAUCCGACGUAGCCAAGCCACUGUCGUAGGCCGCCAAGCUCGCCUAGCCACCCGUCCCGCCGUCGGAAGCCACCGCUUGCUCCGCCCGCUCGCCUAGCCGACCGUCUCGCCAUUUCUACCCAAGUUAGCUUCGGUUCAGCCCUCUCGACCCAACAACCAGAACCAAGUAGUCCAGUCCAACCGUGGGCUUCUAGGUUUAUUUGGGACCGCUUUCGGGCCUCAUAGGGUGUCGCCGCUUUGGAGUUUGUUGCCCGUCUCCGCCUUGCUAUCGUCGUGGACUCAUUGGAUUUUAAAACCAGUGAGUUUACUCACUAAACUCUUCUUAGGGAGUUAAUGAUGCUUAAGAGUUGAUUAAUUUAGGCUAAGUAUGAUUUAGGUGGUUAGUUAGAAUGGAUUAGCAAUUUAAUUAUUCGUUUAUGUAUGUUAGGUGGUUAGAUCGGCUUAAUUAGCAACUAGAUAGGUUGUAUUAUUUAUCUAGUCAAGUUCAGAAUUUUUCCAAGCCUAUUUUGGUAUUUAAUUAGGCUUUUCUGGCCUAAGUUUGCAUUUAGGGUAUUUAAUUGUAUUUAAUUAAUUAAUUUUGGUAAUUAUUUAAUUAUUUAUUAUUUUAUGUAAAUUAUACCAGGAGAGCCAGUGACCGGAAUUUCGUGCUGAUUGCAAUGGUAGGAUUGGUUUAUUUAAUUGAGUGUUGAUUUGUACAAAUUAAGUGAGAAUUAUAAUUUUGGGUAUUUAUUCCAAAAUUGAGUAAUUUCGGUAUUUCAUUAAAAAAUAUCGGGCAUCGAUUUACAAUGCCCAAAAUGUGUUUAUGGAAUAUUAUAAUUAGUGAGAUUUUCUAAAAGAAAAAUAUUGUGUUUUUGGCUCAAGCCAACCAUGUACCCACACACGAUUAUUUUUAUCGAGUGCGUUUAACCUAGUGGUUUAUCAGCUUGUGAGAGCAUAUAUGCAUGUCAGCUUGUGCGAGCAUAUUUAUCGUCAACUUUUGGGACCCUUUGCACGUCAGUUUGUGAGAGCAGUAUACUAUAUCAGCCUACGAGUUUUGAUACAUUAGCUUGUGAGAGUAGUAUACUUUUUAUUCGCUUUUGGGCCCCUUUGCACGUCAAUUUGUAAAAGCAGUAUACUGUAUCAGCCUACGGGCUUUGAUACAUCAACUUGUGAAAAGCAAUAUACCUUAUCAGCUUGUGUGAACUAAGAUCGUUAUAUCAGCUUGUGAGAGCACGAUCUAUAUUAUCUGCUUGUGCGAGCUACUAUCUAUCUAUAUCAACUUGUGAAAGCUAUGACCAUAUAUUACAACUUGUGAGAGCAUUGAAUGAUUAUUUUAGCUUGUGUGAGCAGUGGUCAUAUUGAAUUGAUAGAUAUUACUGUUGAUAUCGAAUUGAGCUAAUUGACUGAUUGAUUGAUGGGUUGAUUGAAUUGAGUGGAUUGGUUGAAAUUAUGAACUGUUCUAACUUGCAGGAAGGAACUAAGGCAAGGUAAGUCCUACAUCUUAUGUGUGCAUAGGCAGUCCUUAGGCAUAUUUCCUUCAUAGUCAGAGUUUAGGGAGGGUGAACUUGCUGAGACCUUAUCUCACCCUGUUAUGGGCUAACAUAUUUGGGUCCUUAGAUGGCAAAUCCUCUAGAACAUCAUGGUCAUCCCAUGAAGGUUACCGAGUGGGUUUCUAGUUACCCUGAACUCGAAAGUUUUUGGGUGUAUGAACUGAUAGUGACCACUGUUUGGGUCAAAGAGAAUCCACCUCAUAUGAUACCUCAUCGAUUUAAAGCGUGGUUCCGCUACGAACCCAAUGGUUUUCGGGUGGGUCCCCUUAGGACUUUUGAUAUCCCCCUCUGGUGAUCGAUACUAACUCUAGACGAGAAUCCGGCUAAUCCUCCCGAUGGUGUAGUGGAGAACCUGCCAUCUCAUCCAGACCCGGUGGAGACUGAAGAAUCAGUGAAUAAGUCCAACUAGCUGGCCAUAGGAUAGCUUUGUUUUGAGGAUCGAUCUUUCGUAGAAUUGUAAAUAUAGACUAGUAUUGUAAAUGACCUAGUCUAUCGUGUAUAAAUGCGUGUUGUGCGGUUUUAAAAUUUAGGCCCUACUUUUCUGUCCCAUCUUUUUGUUGUCUAUGGAUGUAUUUAUUUGCUUCUAUAUGUGCAUUAAAAUGAAUUGGGUUGGCGACGCGUCCUGGGAUGUCGCAAAUUUAUCAACCACCGAGGGAUGGGCAUGCGAUCAAAGAUCGAGGUGUGACACUGGGCAAGGGCCACUAGUGCCUAUGCAAGGGUGGGUGACCGUCGCCCAGAUCUAGGAGAGGGUUGCCGCCCUCUCCCACCUCUAGCGAGGGGUAGAUGGCCCUCACCUUUGGUUAGCGAGGGUCGUUGGUGCCUGGGCGAGGCACUGGCGACCCCGCCCCCAUCAACUAUGGGGCAAUGGCCACUCCUCCUGCCUCUAUUUUUUUUUUUAGGUCUAAUUUUUAAAAAAUUUUAAUCUAAAAAAUGUAAUUUAAUCUAGAUUAAAAUUGUAUUUCGACGAAACCAAAAAAUUUUGCUGGUCGGUGAGCCAGUGAGGUUAGGCCCUUAUUUAAAACAAAUAUAAUCACUUUAGGUCAUUUGAGACUGAUAUGACUACUUCAGGCCUUUAUUCGAAAUAAGAUCCACUUCAUGCCAUUUUAAAAAAAAUAAGUAUACUUUGAACCAUUAUUUGGGAUUUUCCCUGAAAUUUAAAAUGUUUCAAAUUAAAAAAAAAAUGGAUGAAACACGAUAUUUAAGGGGAAUGAAAAUUAGAUGUUCAAACUGACAAACCCUCAGUUGUUUUGCCGCCGUCUUGGGAAGCUUAAUUUGUGGCUAUUGUUGAGAAAACCUCCAAGAAUUUUGAUUUCGACAGAACCAUAACUUGGAACUUAUGAUCUGAUAGAUACGAGUGUUGUUUCUGCUCGGGUGGUACAAACUAAUGAAGACUAGANNNNNNNNNNNNNNNNNNNNNNNNNNNNNNNNNNNNNNNNNNNNNNNNNNNNNNNNNNNNNNNNNNNNNNNNNNNNNNNNNNNNNNNNNNNNNNNNNNNNAUAUUAAAAUAUUAUUAAAAGUUGUCCACAUCAGCGCCGAUUAGGCCACGUAAGCCGGCCGGCAGUCAGUCAGCAAAAUCCGGCCAAAAGGACUGAAUUGGCACAACUUAAAAAAGGUUUAGGACUGAAUUAGCACCAAAAAAAUGUUUAGGACUAAAUCGACACAAAGGCAAAAGGUUUAGGAUUUUUUGGCACUUUUUCCCAAUUUUUGAAUUCUAUUAUGAUGAAAAUGGAACCCUAGGAGGAAUCUUCCAUAUUCUAACCAAACCUUUUGCACCAGCUCGUCAUGCGUUCAUUUGUUGAUGAUUAUACUCUGAAGCAAUGGAAAAUGGUAACAAUCCGAAUGAUAUCAAAUUAACUUAAUGGAAUAGAAUAAUCUCCCAUUUUGUGUAAAUCUAAUAGGAUUUGAUAUAGUAUAGCAAAAUAAAUAUCAAGCACGCAAACACAAGGCGAUUUUUUAUGUGAAAAACCUCCUCAGAGUGAGAGAUUAAAAAUCACAGGAUCGAAAUCCACCCAAAAAUCUUUACUAUCAACAAAUUUUGGUGAACAAAGUUCUUCUCUAAUAAAUACUAGAGGUACAUAACAACAAAGACCUCAAGAACAUCAUUCUUGGCAAAAUGCAUAAAUUUCACAAGAGAUUAAGGAUAAAUCUGACCAAAAAUGCAAGUUUUGAUUAAUCCACGAAAUACUUGGUAUAGGGAGUUUCAAACGAAAAUCAAACCGUCAAGAUUCAAGAAGAGUGUGCCACAAAAAUAUUUACAAUAUUUCAGCUCAAUCGGAUUACAAAUUGACUUCCAAUGCUGGCUUGAUAUAAAUUAGACUGAUUCUCAAAUCUCAGAUUUUCUGCUUGCUCUUUUUCUUUCGUCUUGGUUUCUGCUGCUAAUUUCUUUGCAGCCACUACUUAAAAGAUUGUAAUAAAUCUUAUUUCUCCAUAUAACUUAUCAUAUGGGCUCAAACUCUUUUGGGCUUACAAUUCCUUGGCCUUCCUUCAUAUGAGAGUGAACUCAGCUAGUACAAAGGUAUCACUGAUUGACAUUUUAUUUUUUAACUUUGGUUUAGUCUAUCGACCCAGUCAAGGUACAUCAAUCUCAUCCACCAACUAGUUCAAAUUGGAGAAGUGGAAAAAUCUCAUGCCUGACGGGACCGACGACAUAUCGUCAAAAGCUCGAGCUACGGACACAUUCGAAGCCUCGCAGUUGUCGAGCAAUUUCGAAAGGUUGCUAUGGACUCGUUCGAGCUGAUGGUCCAAAUAUUUUCUCGAUUUAUUNNNNNNNNNNNNNNNNNNNNNNNNNNNNNNNNNNNNNNNNNNNNNNNNNNNNNNNNNNNNNNNNNNNNNNNNNNNNNNNNNNNNNNNNNNNNNNNNNNNNNNNNNNNNNNNNNGUGUGUGUGGAGGCUAGAGAGAAUGAAGUGCAAAAAAUUGACAGGUAAAUUUAAGAAUAAACGAAAACUGGUAAAGCAAAAGAUAGUAACUCAAUCGGAGAAAAUUUGGUAAAUCACUUAAAUAAAAGUCAACACCUUCAUAUGGUAAUUGAUAAAUUUAAAUAAUAAUUGUUAAAAAUAAGAUAAUUUUUUCUUUUGUUAUAGACAAGAGAAGUUGGUAAUUAAGAAAAAAGCUAAACAAACAUUGAUGACUAACUCAAGUAAGAGUCGGUAUUCCAAAAGUUAAUAAUUUAGUCAGAGAAAUGUUAGUAUCUAUCGAAAUAUAAAUCGGUGAUUUCUAAAAAAGAAGUUGGUAAAUUUAAUGGGCUGUUAACUCAAUAGAAAACUUUCUAAAUUAGAAUAACUGAGCACUUAAAUAACUUCGUAAAAAACUAGUUGGUAACCGAAGAAAAGCUUAGUAAAUUUAAUGGGUUAUUACAUUAUGUUUCAUGAUCCCUUAGGUAGCUAGGCGUCUAUGCUAUGGUCCGUGGGUCAUCAAAAGAAAAAAAAAUUGAUAAACAAUAAAAAAUUAUAAAUUAUAAAAAAAUAUAUUGGCAAAUAAAUCAAACGAGAGUUGUAAACCAAAAGUAGUUCGUAAAGGAUUGAUGAUUUGCUUGAAUGAAAAUUGGUAAAUUUAUAUAAAGGACCGGCAAAUUUAAUGUAGCAGUAAAUUAUGCAAAUAAAAGUUGGCCAAAGAUUAAAAAAAAAAAAAAUGGUAAUUUGUAAAUUGUAAAAAAAUUGGAAAUUUUAUAUAUGUGUCAGCUAAUUCUCAACAUGUUGUCGGGCAAUUGGAUGAACCUUUUUCUUUUUAACAGAUGGAAUAGUAGAAUCACCAAAAUGAAUGUUUAACAGAGUGAAAUUCAAACAUAAAGUGUAUUAAAAAAUUAUCUCAUAUUACUUGACAACAGAUCCUAUAUAUUUUUUAUAUUUAUGUGGUCUCCCUCUACCUAUCAACUUAAGUUAUUAAUUUGGAUUUUCUAACAUGAUAUCAAGGUUAGUGCUAUCCUUUUUGCAAAUGUGCAUCCCCAUUAGCCACUUAUAAUCAAGUUUCCGUUGGGUUGGACUUUUUUUAAAUAAAAUAGCUGAUCUACCGAUCACAUCUAAAGAGAACUCCUUUUACCCGUUAUAUAUCUUUUAGUUUUAGAAUUCUGAUCAGCAUUACGUUGCAUAUUCCACGUUAAAAUUCUCCGCGUGAUUGCCGGCAAAUAUCUUCAACUGACCUUUGAAAGAGUGGUGUCGCAACCUCUUUUUUUCGACGCACGCAAUCGGGUACGGGCGCCUAAGGAGGCUAAUGGCUCGGCUGAAUUAAUUAAAGCCUGGACUCUCCCAAGUCCACCAAUUCACGACUUAAUGGUUCAAUUUUUUAACCCGUAAAUCGAAUUUUAAAUUGGAGUCGCCACUAAUCGAUUUGGGGUGGGUUGAUUAGAAACCCAAGUGAAGUAUCGGAAGAAAUACUCACUCCUGCGCAACCAGAGAAAUUAAGAUCGAGGACUUGAUUACACUAGUUAAUCACUAAUGCCCUUUCGGUACCUAAUCUUGUUUAAACCUUGAGGCUUUUUGGAUGUUCGAGAGAUUUUCCACGCAUUUUGGAUGUUCGAGGGGUUUUCCAUGCAUUUUUGGAGAAAACCAUUUUUUGGGUCUUUUUCUAUUUUUUGACAUGAAAGGGAUUUUUUUUUUUACCUUUUUUGGUAUUUUUGGAAAAAUACAAGUCUUUUUGGCUUUUUCUGAAUUUUUUUUUGGCUUUUUCAUGAAUUUUUGGCUUUUUUUGGAUUUUUGGCAUUUUUUUGUAAAAUAUGAAAUAUUUUUGAUUUUUUUGAUUUUCUGGAAAUUAAAAUAUUUUUAUCACUAUAUUUUCGAUUUUCUGGAAAUUAAAACAUUUUUUAAUAUUUUUGGAAAAUAAAAUAUUUUUUUGGGUAUUUUUUGUUUUUUUUUUAACUUAAAAUAUUUAAAAAAUAUUUUUCGAAAAGAAUAUAUAUAUAUAUAUAUAUUUUGGAAAAUAAGUUAUUUAUUUAUUCAAAAUAUUAUAAAAACCGGCCCGGGUCGGAUCUGCGGGUUGGGUUCGACCCGCACGCGGACGGGCCCGCGUUGCGGGCCCGACUCAGAUUUUUCUCCCUUUUUUCUUUUUCCAAGCCCAUGAACUAACCAAGGCCCAUUUUCGUUAUAAAAAAAAGAUCCAUGGAUUAACCGGCCCACACGCGCAGGCCCACAUCGGGGGGGAAACCCACCCGAUCGCUGACCCAUGCCCGACCCGCUUUCCGACCCGGCUUCUCUUUCGUAGAACCGGAUUUUGGGAACCCUAGAGCUCGACGAUUUGCGGCGGCGAGGUGGGGCUUGGCUGGGACGUCAUCGGGCGGUGACACGGCGACGGUGGCGACGCGGCAAGCGACGGUGGCGUCGCGGCAGGCGGCGGCACGGUGACGGUGUGAGGUGCGACGGCGGCCGAACACCACAGGGGUCUCGGCGAAUCGUCGGGGACCGCGUCGAGGGUGGAAAGCGUCACAGCGACGAUGCAGCAGGGUCGUUGCUGGUUUGGGGACAACGUCGGGGAAGGACUGCAGCACGGCACGGCAGCAGUCCGGUGCAGCGAUGGCGGGUGCAGCGACGGCAACAAAACCCCUACCUUCCGGAACCCAUUCACUCAGAUCUAGACGGCGUCGGGGCACAGCUCGGGGUGGCGGUGGUGGCUUGGCAGGUGCCUCUUUUCUCCUCGUAUUCGGCCCUCGCUCCUCCUCAGAUCUGGGCUUCCUCUUUGCUCGUGCUCUCUCCCCUCCUCAGCCCCUCUUCGCGGAUCCAGAACCCUCCCCUCUCCUUCGGCUUCAGUUGUUCACAGAUCUGGGCUUGCGGGCAUUCGGACCUCCCUCGAAGUCUCUCGAGGGAAGCUUCCGGCAUUCGCAAGCUUUCGAUCUCUGCUUCGGUUCCUCUCUCUCCGGGUUCGCUUGUUGUUAGCCUCCCCCGAAGUCUCUCAGGGGGAGGUCGUUCGAGUUCGCGACCGGAUUUCUCUAGCGUGCUCGCUCUUUGAGUCUCCCCUGAAGUCUCUCAAGGGAAAGUCUCCGAGCUUGCCGUGCCCUCUGGCCUUCCCCCCAACACCCUAUUUAUAGGCGUGGGGGUGCGGGUCGGCAGAGGCUAGACCGACGGUCUUUGGUGCACUGACCGGCCUUCCUUCGCCGGCCGAACCGGCGUCAAUUCCUCCCCUUCCACGGAGGCUCGCUCGCCAUCAAUGCCGCGUCCUCUCAGCCACCGGCCUACGCUCCUCUCUCUGUUGUAGGUGGUGCUCAAGCGCGUCUUCGUCGUAGCGCGUGACUUGCAGAGGCGGAAGAAGGAGGAAGGAAGAAGAUGGGAGGAAGAAGAAGGAAAAAAGGGGGGGGAGGCUAAGUCGUGCGAGCCCACGUGAAGAAAAGAGGGGGCUGCUGCUUUUUUUCUUUUUUCUUUUUGCUUUUCUUGUUUUUAUUUUUUUUUUUGUCUUGUUUUCUUUUUGUUUUUAUUGAAUUUAUUUGAAAAAGAGGCAAAAUACAAAAAUAAAGAAACUUAAGCCUAAUUAAAAACCUAAUCAAAAUUUAUGUGUCAACAGCUGCCCCUCUUUGAAGGUGAGUUCGUAGAGGUUGCGUUCAAAGACAAACCUGAUACCUAAAUUUUGUCUAUACAUAUGCAAUAGAUUAUAUUUUAUUGGGGACCUAUUGUCCUAUACAGAAAAAGAGCAAUAUAACAUUACACAUACUAAAACAGAUAAGAAAUACAUGUAGUUACUUACCGGGACUGAGUGAGAUAGGGUGUGAACCCUGAGUUUUGGCAAGUAUCAAGGCGUCAUCUUACUUGGUGACAUGAGGAGGUUGCUUUUUCAGGGCUCGAACCAUUCUUCGGUCGCCUGUUAGAGCAAUAAGUGAUUUGUCUAGGACUCGAACCUUUCUUCGGUCGCUUUGACGGGGAAUUGCUUUCCCAAGACCCGAACCUUUCUUCGGUCGCCUUGACGGGGAAUUGCUUUUCCAAGACCCGAACCUUUCUUCGGUCGCCUGUUAAAACAAUCAAUGGUUUGUCUAGGACCCGAACCUUUCUUCGGUCGCCUUAAACGGGAGAUUGCUCCUCCAGGACCUGAACCAUUCUUCGGUCACCUGUUGGAGUAAUUAGUGGUUUGUCUCGGACCCGAACCAUUCUUCGGUCGCCGUGACGGGAAAUUGCUUCUCCAGGACCCGAACCAUUCUUCGGUCGCCUGUUAAAACAAUCCAUGAUUUGUCUAGGACCCGAACCUUUCUUCGGUCGCCUUGACGGGAGAUGCACCGACCUUUCUCAGGGCAUCUCAUUUGUGGGUGCCUAAUUUGUAUCGAGGACACCAGUUGGUACCUGACCUUUCUCGGGAGAUGCGCCGACCUUUCUCAGAGCAUAUGUUUUGUUGGGGUGUCUGACUUUUGUCAAAGACACUGGUUGGAACCCGACCUUUCUCGGGAGGAUGCACCGACCUUUCUCAGGGCAUCGAUUUGUGGGGUAUUUGACUUCUGUCAAAGACACCAGUUGGAACCCGACCUUUCUCGGGAGGAUGCGCCGACCUUUCUCAGGGCGUCGAUUUGUAUCGAGGACACCAGUUGGUACCCGACCUCUCUCAGGAGAUGCGCCGACCUUUCUCAGAGCAUCUGUUUUGUGAGGCGUCUGACUUCUGUCAAAGACACCAGUUGGAACCUGACCUUUCUCGGGAGGAUGCGUCGACCUUUCUCAGGGCAUCAAUUCUGGAAGAUACCUGGACAUUCACAAGCAUAUCAAAGAGUACCUGGAUAUUCACAAGCACUAACCUGAAGGAUAUUUGGGCCUUUACAAGCAUCAAAAGGGGCAUUUGAUUGAUCAUAAGCAUAAACUCUUGGGGGAUACCUGGAUGUUCGCAGGCAUUAAAGGAAUACCUGAUUGCUUGCGGGUAUUAAAGAGUAUUUGAAUGAUCACAAGUACAAACUCUUGAAGGAUACCUAGCAUUUGCAGGUAUCGAAGGAGUACCUGAUUGCUUGCAGGUGUUGAAAGAGUACUUGAAUGAUCACAAGUACAAACUCUUGAAGGAUACCUAGCAUUCACAGGUAUCGAAGGGGUACUUGAUAAUUGAAAAUACUGAGAACAUACCUUGGAUAUUUGUGAAGGUGUCCCACCUCCUGGCAACUGGGAAAUAUCGAGGGCAUACCUGGGAUAUUCGUGAAGGUCUCUCACCUCCUGGUAGUGGGAAUAUUGAGGAUGGAUCUCGCAUAUUCGUGAAUGUCUCUCACCUCUUGGUAAUGGGAAUAUCGAGGGCGUGUCUCGCAUAUUCGUGAAGGUCUCUCACCUCCUGGUAAAGGGGAAUAUCGAGGACGUACCUGGGAUAUUCGUGAAGGUCUCUCACCUCCUGGUAAUUGGGAAUAUCGAGGGCGUCCCUUAGAUAUUCAUGAAGGUCUCUCACCUCCUAGCAAUUUGGAAUAUCGAGGACGUGCCUCGCAUAUUCAUGAAGGUCUCUCACCUCCUGGUAAAGGGGAAUAUCGAGGGAGUACCUGGGAUAUUCAUGAAGGUCUCUCACCUCCUAGUAAUUUGGAAUAUCGAGGGCAUGCCCCGCAUAUUCGUGAAGGUCUCUCACCUCCUGGUAAUUGGGAAUAUCGAGGACGUACCUUGGAUAUUCGUGAAGGUCUCUCACCUCCUGGUAGUUGGGAAUAUCGAUGACGUACCUUGGAUAUUCAUGAAGGUCUCCCACCUCCUGGUAAUUGGGAAUAUCGAAUACGUACCUUAGAUAUUCAUGAAGGUCUCCCACCUCCUGGUAUUUGGAAUAUCGAGGACGUACCUUGGAUAUUCGUGAAGGUCUCUCACCUCCUAGUAAUUGGGAAUAUCGAGGACGUAUCUGGGAUAUUCAUGAAGGUCUCUCACCUCCUGGUAAUUGGGAAUAUCGAGGAUGUACUUGGGAUAUUCAUGAAGGUCUCUCACCUCCUGGUAGUUGGAAUAUCGAGGACGUGCCUUGAAUAUUCAUGAAUGUCUCCCACCUCAUGGUAUUUGGAAUAUCGAGGACGUACCUUGGAUAUUCGUGAAGGUCUCCCACCUCCUGGUAGUUGGAAUAUCGAGGACGUGCCUUGGAUAUUCAUGAAGGUCUCUCACCUCCUAGAUGGCCGCAGGCACUCAAAAGGGCUGGAACACCUGGGUAGCCACAGGUGUACAAAGUACUGGAAUACUUGGAUGAACACAAGUAUUUGAUGAUACGAUCUGGGACCACUCUGGCUGGUCUAAGUGUAAGAAAACAUACAUGGAUAACCAUAGGCGCACAACGCGAUGGAAUACUUGAAUGGCUACUAGUAUUCAAUGAUACAAUUUUGAGGACAACUCGGACUUGUUGAGUGUCACGGAAAUGCAGUACCUAGACAAUGAAAGGCACUCAAAGGUAAUGGGAUACUUGGCUAAUUGUAGGCAUCCUAGCUAUGAAGACAACUCAAACAAGUCGAGUGUCAAGAAAAAGGAGUAUCUAAACGGUGGCCGGUACUCAAUGACAAUAGGUAUACCUAGACAGCAGUAGGUAUUCAAUAAUAAAGGGAUACUUGGUCAGUCACAAGUAUCAAUACUCUGGGGACAACUCGAAUAGGUCGAGUAUCAGGAAAAGGGAGUAUCCGAAUGGUGGCCGGUACUCAAAGAUAAUAGGGAUACCUAGACGGCAGUAGGUAUUCAACGAUAAAGGGAUACUUGGUCAGUCACAAGUAUCAAUACUCUGGGGACAACUCGAAUAGGUCGAGUGUCAGGAAAAGAUGGAGUACCCGGCAAGUGGUGGGUACUUAAAUACAAUGGGAUACUUAGACAGUUGCAAGCACCCAAACUCAAGGGACGACUCGAAUAGGUCGAGUGUCAAGAAGAGAGUACCUAGACAGUGGUAGGUAUUUUAAGACAAAUGGGGAUAGAGAUACGCUUACCUGGUAAUAUCUCUGAUCUCUAAGAGUAUGUCUGCUAUUUGCACAAUAUGCACACAUGAUUGUAUAUGCUGUAAAUUCAUGAGUUCAAAUAAGAUUCAUGCAUGAUAAUUUUGUCAGAUUCGCAUCUUUUGAUUUCUAUUGGGGAAGAUUUUGAAAGACAACAUUCAUUUAGAAUGUAGACGUCUUGAGCAUGCCAGAUGAGGGACUUUCAGUCUGAAAGGACUUUUUGCUCACUCUCAUGGAAAAGGCUAUCCUGACCAUUGAUGCAGGAUUUAUAAGGACCACACUAUCUCACUGUCAUCAUGUCAGCAGGGGUCCGAGUAUUCUCACAAACAGUACGACUUUACCAAUGUGAGAGGUCUUUGUUGAAACUGGUAUGAAGUCUUGGCCAGCGGCUCAUCGAAGGGGACCAUCAAGGUCAAGGCUUAUGAAUGGAGUGCCGCACGAUUGUCUUCGAGCUUGCAAUUCAAGAAUCCUGCAAAAAGAGAUAGAGUAAUCUUGCUUGUACUUCUUCGAGUGAUGUUUAUAGACAUAUGAAAUCCUACGUUAAUUGAAGUGCCCUAGUUUGAAGAGACUUUUACAAUGGGAUGUAACGUAGACUUGGCUCACAUGUAAGAGGGUGAGAGUUGGUGACUGUCUUGGCAUUUGUCACUAGUCUUUCUUGUCAGAUGGAGGUUCUAUGGACUGCAACAACAACUUUUCUUGGCUGUAUUUUUAACUGGGGGGCCUUGGCCUUGCUUUUACCAGGCACACUGCUUUUUUCAUGCCCCUAUUUUUAUUCUAGUUCUUCUUUUGUGGGCAUUGACCUUGCUUUUACCAGGUACACUGCUUUUUAUGCCCCUGUUUUUUUUCAUUCUUGUCAUUAGAGGAACUAGCCUAGGCAAGUUCAAUCACGACACUGUUGUUAGACUCUUGAGUCUUCGUCUUCAGCUAGCGCUCUGAGCUAUGUUGUUUAAAUGGUAGUAACUUCUGUUUUGUCUCGAUGUGAGGGUAAAAUUACAGACUCACUUGGGUUGUACAAUGAAUACAAGUGCGUAGAGAGAGAAUUGCUCUUCGUCAUUCUAGGGCACUUAAAUUAACGCGAGUGUUCCUAUGUAAUAAACACACUCAAAGAUUGAUGCAAGUGCAAGCAAGAAAAUUUUUAUCUCUCUUCUCACUUUGUGAUGUUGUUUCGCCUCCGAUCUGCCCCAGUGUGGGGUGGUUCUUGACGAGGGUAUGAGAGAAGCUUCACCAAUGUAUGGGGCUCGAUGGGGUGAGCGAUGGAAUGCCUCUCACCGUUUUGGUUAUCGUACCAUUCGCGAGAGAACUCUUUAUCCCGCAGUCAUGGAAUCUUCUGCACUCAUCUCACAAGUGUAUAGAUGGGGGGCUGUGUAUAGGAUAUGGCUUGCCUUUCAUCGUUCUGACACGCCUCAUCCAGCAUGCUCAAUUAAUCUUGUAUUCUUCACUUAGCUGUCUAUUCUGAUAAUCCUCAGUGGAAUCAGUGAUUUAGACAGCCAAAAUCAUCAUGCACAAUUCAUCUGGAAAUGACAUGCAACAUUUUGAAUAUGAUGGAGUUUGAAAUUUUCAAAACGAGUAAAUGGUUUUGACUCAAAAAAGACCCUAUUGACAACUUUAGGAGUUAACAUGAUGGUGUUUCCAAAUAUGUUAAAUUUUGAACAUCAAAAUGGUUAUUUGCAAAUGGGUGUCGAUAGUUAUCCCUAUUGAUUAAGGAUAUGACACAUGGAGGAUCAGUCAGGGUUGGGGAUCUGAUCAGGCAUCUCUGUUUUUGCCCUUGCAGAAGAGAAGAUGAAAAUGGAUCAAUCAACAAGGCCAAAAUUAAAGGUGAAUUGAGGCCCGAAGGAUCUCUGUCAUUUGCUUUGGCAAUACUUGAGACGUCAUUUUGCUUGGGAGAGUUUGUUAUGCCUCUCAUUGAUUUGUUAUCUGUUUUGACAGUCAGGUGACCCUACAAUAGAUAAGAGGGAAUGUGUUAGUCAUGAACUCUUUUAAGAGUCGAAUAAUUGGAAGCAAUACAACUUUACCCUUCACUAUUUUGCAGACGAUUGGGUGAACCUAAAGUGAGAGGGGGACACGAAGUCCUAUGUCCCUUGCUUCGUUAGGUCAAUUAUUCUAUGAAUUGGCUCCUGGAUGACGCGUCCUUUUACACGAAGCCAGGUGAAUUUGAUGCGGGUCAUUUCCACAAACCUCACUUGGCCAAUAUUGACCAUCAAGUUUGCUUUUUGAUUCCCAAUGUUUCCUGUCAAUAGGGAAAAUACGUCAAAAGCGAGUUCAAAUAGUGGGAGUAAUGGAAACGAUACCGAAUUACCCUUCACUGGUUUGCAGAUGAUUGGAUGGACUUGAAGUGCAAGUGGGACACAAAGUCCUAUGUCUUUUGCUUCGUUAGGUCACCUGUUCUCUCGUAAUUUGCAAGUGCAAGGGAAGCAACAUUUUUUAUUAUUUUUUUACCAAGCGGCUAACUACCGCGUCGGGGAUUCAAACCCCCGACUUCGGACCAUUUCGCUUCUUCCCGGGUAACACUCGGCUAGAGGUGCCGACGGUGUCCGUAGGGCACUGCCUUUUUAUUUAACUGAAUCGGCUCCUGGACGACACGUCCUUUUAUACCAAGUCAGGUAAAUCGAUAUGGGUCACUUGAUUUGCCCAUAUUAACCAUUCAGCUUGUUUCUUGAAUCCUAUGCUUCCUAUCAAUAGGAGAAAAUAUGUCAAAAGUGAGUUUAGAUACUGAGAGUAUUGGAAACGAUACCAAAUUACUCUUCCCCAGAGUUUAUAUUUGCUAACUCCUAUGGAUAUUUGAAUGUCAGUGACGGCCUUUUGUUUUUGACACAAUUCAAUGUCUCUUUUGAUUGGCCCUCUUCGUUUGUGGCCCUGUGUACACAAUUGAUGAUUUGCAGCGCCUUCCUUCUGUGGAAUUCUGUCUUUGACCAUAUGACCAUUAGUAGCAUUAAGCAAAGUCAUGUAUUUCAAGCUUCUAUGGAAUCUGAGAUGGACAAUCAAAACCUCUAAUUCUCUGAUGGGAAUUACUUCUUGCGAGAGCAUUAAUCUAAACAAGAAGUCAGGUUUCUAGGUCCUCAUUUUGAAAUAGGGGCUAGAGACCACUUCAACUGUCUGGAUUUCUUUCCUGCUGACAGUAGCCAAUUCAAAGAAAGAGAAAAGAUCCCUUCCUUGUACUUCUAGGCUUGUCGAAGCUGGAAGUCCCGUUAAUGAAACCACAGCAUCUAGUUGCUCAGGCAUGUUGUGGGGAAAAGAUAUUGCUCCGGCUUGAGAAGGAGUUGGGCAGGAGCGAGGUGGAGUGCACAGAGCCCUUGGGGAUGGCUUGAUUUCAACCGUAUGCCUGUACCUAUUACGUCCUAUCUUUCGUUUCCCUUGUUUUCUUGGCAGAGUGUCUUCGAAUUUAGUGAGUUCACAUGAUGUGCCAGCUUCAAAUGCCCCCUGUCACACUAAGUCAAGGGGGAUGGGGAUGAUAUUCUGGGACACAAAGUGAGUGAGUCAGAAAGACAAAUAUGAUUAAAUCUAACAUCUUGUUUUGACGAAAGCUUUUGGUGAUGAAGUGCUUUUUGUUUUCAAAAUAUGUAUUCAGGGGGAGAAAAAGCAUGAGGAAGCCCAGCCCUCAGUAUUCUCCUUGGAUGAUAUUUUCUUUUCAUGGUUGGAUAACAUCACUGGGCCAGUUUGGGCUACCGCCUCAUGCUUUCAAAACAAAAUAUUAGAACUGUACAUUAGAUUACUGGAAUGGAAAAUACAACAGUAGCACACUAGACAGGAUAAAAAACAUGAAAUUAUAAAAACAAGCAACACUCAUGAAAACUCCUAUGAAAAUGAGCACUUUAAUAGUGCUGGUUUUGAAAUCAAGCGCCUUUGGGUUCCUCGCCUCCAGUAGACUCGAAGUAUUCGCAUGAGAGGACCACUUCAUUGAAGCUACGAAAAUGCAACCCAUGCAACCAACAGCGAUGCUUGCGGGGUAAAGCUCCUAUGAACAGCUUUAUCAUUUCUUCUUCGGCCAGCUGAGGGUAGGUUUGCAUCAUAAAAGCUUCCCACCUUCUUGCAUAUGCUCGAAAAUCCUCCAUUGGUCUUCUUCUAAAGUGAACCAAGUUCUCGCAAGACAGUCUAGCUCCAAUCUGGUGCUGGUAUUGAUGCAGGAAUGUGGAAGACGGCUCCUUCCAAUCCCUCAUGAGGCUGAUAUCUGCUGUGAUGAACCAUUGCAAUGCAGACCCUGUAAGACUUUCUUGGAAAGCCUGAGUUAUGAAUGACAUCGGGCCAUAGUACCGACUCAUUUCAGCAUGGAGGUACUGCAAGUGGGCCACGGGGCAAGUCGUGCCGUUAUACUUGCGGAAAUUAGGUAUCCACAUUUCUAUGGGGGUCAUGAUCCUACCAGGGCAAGACAAGCUUGGUAUGUCUUGAUUAGGCCACUGGUUUUUCCAUUGCAUAUUCGUUGUAGUGGUGAAUUCUUCUGUUUUAGGGAAGUUGGACUCUACCGAAAUUACCCCAUUACUUUCUUCUAGGUUAAAAUUUCCGAAUGAGGAUGAAAUAUUGAAACUAUCCUCAUGGUCAGAGGACAAGCUUAGUACUUCGUUAGGAUCGUAGUGGAUAAAGACGUAUGCUUCUUCUUCUGACAAGCCUUCAUCCCCGGGUGAGAGUAGGAAACAGUUACACGAUGAAUCGUCAGUUUCAUUGUCAAAAUAACGCUGGAAGUCCUUGGGAUUGUAUUCUAGGGCCGGGAAGUCUUCAGGGUUGUACUCUAAAGGAUGGUAGCCUUUAAAGCUGUAUUCUUGGGAAUGCUCGAAGCUUUGGUGUGGUGGCUUGUCGGUAGAUGCUAAAUUGAUUUGCUUAGGCUUUCUUUUCUUGGCUUAUGGUCUAGACCUUUUGAAUAAGGCCCUUUGUUUUGCUAACUUGAUUCUGUCAAGGGAAGUGAGAGACAUUAGAGUUUCACUGUCUGAUUCACUUUCCAAGUUGAUAGGGGUUGGUAUUCUUUGGACCCUAGCUCUUGGAGUAAGCUUGGGGAGUUGUCCAGUUGUGCCCCGCUCUUGAACAGGCUCUAAGUCUAUGAUCUCGUACAAAGGCUCCUUGCCUUUCUUAGUGGGAAAUUUUCCAGUAACAGGAUGCUGCUUAGCUGCCCAUUUAUUAUGCAAUGCUUCAUUGACACGUUUCUCUCCUAUCUCAGCAACUAACGGCUCCUUGUGCUCUGCGAUCACCGGCUCUUCGUAGGGCAAGAUGAUGUCAGGGGUGAUGUCAAUAUUGUACUCUUGGUGAAAAACAUAAAUUAGCUCCCUCCAGGUUUUAAGGGGACUAAUCUUCCUGACAAUGUACCAUCGCAAGGCAGGGCCAGUCAAGUUCGAUUGGUACGAUUGAAUCAUCCUUCGGACCAGGUAUGCCUGCAAGUAGUUCUCUGGGCAUGAGGUAUUAGCAUACCUUUCGCAUUCAGGUGCUUUGAGCUCUUCAGGGAUUUCAAUGCUGGCAUAAUUAGAAAGGUCCAUGGGAUUCCGCCCCUGCAGCUGGUUUAAUUUUUUCAUGAUUCUUUCAAACUGUCUAUGGUACUGGCUAUUUUCUGGCAAAUUUGCGGGCAUCAUGACGGUGUUUGAGGCAACUAUAGAGUUGGGCUCAGCUUGAGUGGAUUUCAUUUGUCUCGAGAGUUGUUGAAGGACAAUAGACAUCUAUCCUACGCCGUCUUCAAUGUUAACGAGGUGAUUUUGUACAUCAUUCUGAUCGACCCCUAUUGGAUGAGGCCACUCACGGACGAGUGGUGGCUGAUGAUUCAUAAUUACCUGUCGUUGUGAAAAUAAUGAAUGAGCACAAAAGUAAACAGAGAUUGACCCAUGGCAAUGGUCUAACUACUUUUUAUUUAUCAAAAGAGGAUUUUAUAGAUCGUAAACUUCUGACAUUUAAAACUUGAAAUUGAAAUGACAUAAUGAAAUGUUAGAUAUUAAACAAAAGUCCCUAAACAAUGGGACAAAACUUUAACGAUAUUAACACUAAGGGAGACACGACUGCUAAUCUAUAUGCGAUAGGGAGCCUUGUUCUUGCAAAGGCUGCUUGUUUUCUUGGACUGGCUCUGAGAUGAGUAUCUGGCUUAUUCCCAUAUCCUCUGCAUAAUCCCUGCUUGCUCGUGCGGGCUGCUCUCUCUGAUUGAGCGAGGGACUGAUGGCUUCCACCUUGUCGGGAUGUGAUGAUUGUGGAUGUAGGCCGCAGAGGCGUGGUGGGCUUUUUCUUCUCCCUCAAGCCCUUCAGGUACCACGAUCCUUUUACAAUGGCACUUGUCCCAAGUUUCUUCAACGAUAGAAAUUUCGACCGCAUAGUCACGGCUUGUGUUGAAAAGAUGUGGAGGAAUUCUCCUGCUGGAAGGCGGUGGAAUUUCUUGAAGGGCUCCAAAUUGUCGUGCCACCCGAUAUGGGUAAUAGGGAACAACAUCGGUGCAGCCGAGCAACGGAAUUAGGUGGGUGCGUUUGUAAGCAAAGCGGGCCCUCUUUUCAUGGAACCAACCAGCACACCAUUGGAAUGCCUCAGGAGUUGGGUUUCUUAGAAAGCCAACCCAAUUUAGACAGCUUUUGAUUAGGAAUAUAUGGUCCUAAAACCAUAAAUUUUUGUAAUGGAUUUUUGAAAGCAUUUGUUUCAGACGAUCGCAUGAAGUCUCGGAAUUCGCUUAGGUGAGAAAAGAACCAGACUUGUAAAAUUUCAGGAGAGACCCGCAUGAUUUUCUCCGUGUUGUCUUUAAAACGAUUAAAGGACAAGAAUGUUUCAGUUAAAAUCAUGUUGACAUAAUUUCCCUCCCUCAAGAUCUAACUAUCCAUGCCAUCUUAGGACUUAUGGCAUUUCUUUGAUGAGGGAAAAUGAUGAGUCCGAAAAAGGCCAAGAGGAAAAUCUCGCUUUUUUGGGUCAUAGGCUGAUUUUGAAAACAAGCAUUCAUAAAUUCAAAUGGGCAGAUAUUAUGGUUGUUUUCAAGAAUUUGUGUCAUAAUAUGGACUUUGGUUCUUAAAAGUCGCGCCAACCCACGCAAUGGGAUGAUGCCUGUUGAUGGCCUGACAAGCUUUUUCUCAAGAGGCAUUCCAGUGAUGAUGAUGUAUUCCUCCAGGGUUGGGGUUAGCUCAAACCUACCAAACAUAAAAGUAAGUGUUCUCGGGCACCAGAAAUGUGCCAUGGCUUGUAUGACUUCGGGACGAACAGUGAUUUGGAUCAGCAAUAGGAGAUGACCGAGUUUGGCCUUCACGCGCACUUGGGCAAACUGAUUCAAUUGACCCCACCAUCUAAAGAUCUCCACCUUGGGAGCAGGAAUGAACUGGAUAUCAUCUNNNNNNNNNNNNNNNNNNNNNNNNNNNNNNNNNNNNNNNNNNNNNNNNNNNNNNNNNNNNNNNNNNNNNNNNNNNNNNNNNNNNNNNNNNNNNNNNNNNNCCAUGGGCCCAAAUAAAAGACUGAGUAAAAGUAAAGAAAUCACUUUGCAUUUAAAUAAAAUGACAAGCACAAAGACAUGCACAUGAGAUGUGUGGCUCGAUUCUAACUCAGAAGGCUUGAUGAAAUUAAAAGGGUAUCCGCCCAUCGCAAUCUCACGUUAGCAGCAUACCCCCUUAACCUCGGCUAAGAAAUUCGGGGAAAAGAAAGGCAACCUCUACAUCGCAGUCUCGCGUUCGAGGUCGUAUCUUUCUCAACACCAUCCUAUAAAUCCUAUGGCGGCCCAGGUCCGGCGGCCGGGUUGUGUGUGCCAUGUGUAGUGUUUAAAACAGUAAAGCAUGCACAGCAAUUUAUAAUCACAAAACAUUUUAUUUUGACAGAAUAAAAAAAACUUUAAGCUAUUACCCUGCACAAAAGAAAAAAACCCAAGUCAGCAAAGCAUUUAAACAAAGAUAAAAUGGCCUAAGUCCUCAAAGUCCCCAGUGGACUCGCCAAGCUGUCGCGACCUCUUUUUUCGACGCCCGCAAUCGGGUACGGGCGCCUAAGGAGGCUAAUGGCUCAGCUAAAUUAAUUAAAGCCCGGACUCUCCCAAGUCCACCAAUUCACGACUUAAUGGUUCAAUUUUUUAACCCGUAAAUCAAAUUUUAAAUUGGAGUCGCCACUAAUCGAUUAAGGGUGGGUUGAUUAGAAACCCAAGUGAAGUAUUGAGAGAAAUACUCACUCCUGCGCAACCAAAGAAAUUAGGAUCGGGGACUUGAUUACACUAGUUAAUCACUAAUGCCAUUUUGGUACCUAAUCUUGUUUAAACCUUGAGGCUUUUUGGAUGUUCGAGGGAUUUUCCACGCAUUUUGGAUGUUCGAGAGGUUUUCCAUGCAUUUUUGGAGAAAAACAUUUUUUGGGUCUUUUUCUAUUUUUUGACAUGAAAGGGAUUUUUUUGACCUUUUUUGGUAGUUUUGGAAAAAUACAAGUCUUUUUGGCUUUUUCUGAAUUUUUUUUGGCUUUUUCAUGAAUUUUUGGCUUUUUUUGGAUUUUUGGCAUUUUUUGUAAAAUAUGAAAUAUUUUUGAUUUUUUUGAUUUUUCGGAAAAUAAAAUAUUUUUAUCACUAUUUUUCGAUUUUCUGGAAAUUAAAACAUUUUUUAAUAUUUUUGGAAAAUAAAAUAUUUUUUUAAUAUUUUUCGAAAAGAAAAAAAAAAAAUUUUUUUGGGAAAAUAAGUUAUUUAUUUAUUCAAAAUAUUAUAAAAACCGGCCCGGGUCGGAUCCGCGGGUUGGGUUCGACCCGCACGCGGACGGGCCCGCGUUGCGGGCCCGACUCAGAUUUUUCUCCCUUUUUUCUUUUUCCAAGCCCAUGAACUAACCAAGGCCCAUUUUCGUUAUAAAAAAAAGAUCCACCGGCCCACACGCGCAGGCCCACAUCGGGGGGAAACCCUACCCGAUCGUUGACCCAUGCCCGACCCGCUUUCCGACCCGGCUUCUCUUUCGUAGAACCGGAUUUUGGGAACCCUAGAGCUCGACGAUUUGCGGCGCCGAGGUGGGGCUUGACUGGGACGUCACCGGGCGGUGACACGGCGACGGUGGCGACGCGGCAAGCGACGGUGGCGUCGCGGCAGGCGGCGGCACGGUGACGGUGUGAGGUGCGACGGCGGUCGAACACCACAGGGGUCUCGGCGAAUCGUCGGGGACCGCGUCGAGGGUGGAAAGCGUCACAGCAACGAUGCAGCAGGGUCGUUGCUGGUUUGGGGACAACGUCAGGGAAGGACUGCAGCACGGCACGGCAGCAGUCCGGUGCAGCGAUGGCGGGUGCAGCGAUGGCAACAGAACCCCUACCUUCCGGAACCCAUUCACUCAGAUCUGGACGGCAUCGGGGCACAGCUCGGGGUGGCGGUGGUGGCUUGGCAGGUGCCUCCUUUCUCCUCGUAUCCGGCCCUCGCUCCUCCUCAGAUCUGGGCUUCCUCUUUGCUCGUGCUCUCUCCCCUCCUCAGCCCCUCUUCGCGGAUCCAGAACCCUCCCCUCUCCUUCGGCUUCAGUUGUUCACAGAUCUGGGCUUGCGGGCAUUUGGACCUCCCUCGAAGUCUCUCGAGGGAAGCUUCCAGCGUUCGCAAGCUUUCGAUCUCUGCUUCGGUUCCUCUCUCUCCAGGUUCGCUUGUCGUUAGCCUCCCCCGAAGUCUCUCGGGGGGAGGUCGUUCGAGUUCGCGACCGGAUUUCUCUCGCGUGCUCGCUCUUUGAGUCUCCCCUGAAGUUUCUCAAGGGAAAGUCUCCGAGCUCGCCGUGCCCUCUGGCCUUCCCCCCAACACCCUAUUUAUAGGCGUGGGGGUGCCGAUUGGCAGAGGCUAGACCGGCGGUCUUUGGUGCACUGACCGGCCUUCCUUCGCCGGCCGAACCGGCGUCAAUUCCUCCCCUUCCACGGAGGCUCGCUCGCCAUCAAUGCCGCGUCCUCUCAGCCACCGGCCUACGCUCCUCUCUCUGUUGUAGGUGGUGCUCAAGUGCGUCUUCGUCGCAGUGCGUGACUUGUAGAGGCGGAAGAAGGAGGAAGGAAGAAGAUGGGAGGAAGAAGAAGGAAAAAAGGGGGGGGUGGGCGCUAAAUCGUGCGAGCCCACGUGAAGAAAAGGGGGGGCUGCUGAUUUUUUUCUUUUUUCUUUUUGCUUUUCUUGUUUUUAUUUGUUUUUUUUCUUGUUUUCUUUUUGUUUUUAUUGAAUUUAUCUGAAAAAGAGGCAAAAUACAAAAAUAAAGAAACUUAAGCCUAAUUAAAAACCUAAUCAAAAUUUAUGUGUCAACAAGUGGAGGGACAGGAAAUUGGAAUGGGCUUUAGAAAGAAAAUGUUAACAAUGCCGUUAUCAGUUCACACUUCAGUCCUCAGUAUACAACAAAAGUACAUGGCCAAUAGACAAGCAGAAGGACAUAUGAAGUUUCUCUCAGUGAUCUUUGGAAAUAUCUUGAAUGCCAUAUAAAAUGGCCUUUAGUCUGUUCAUUGCUGGAUUGGUAGAGGGAGUGGACUAUUUUUAAUGCUUUUGGCUGCAUCUUCUAACCUUUUUCUAGUGAUGGUCGAUUCGACCUCCUCGGGUUGAGCUUAGCGCACAAAGGAAGCAUACUUUUGCAAGGACGAGCUAGGAAGGAGAGGGUAUUGUGCUUACACUAGGGGUUACUCGUUUGGCGUACUCACAACAACUUGAAUUAGGCUGCAAAUUGAGAUAGCUAAGUCCAAUCUUUACUCAAACAUACACUUGGAUAAGCUGAGCACGAUCACCGAUUGAGUCUAAUGUAGCUAUGCGUUCGGCCAAUGGGGCUGACCAAAAGAAAGUCAUCGUUGUAAAUCAUAGUGUUGAUUGAUGAUUAUUGUAUUUUUCAUUAAUUAUAUGUUUAUAGUACGUAUGACAGGGAAAUUUUCUGCAAUAUAGUGUUACAUUAGAUAGACAAGCAGUUCCAAUUAAAGUUUUAUACACCUCAUGUACAUUACCUUAAUGUGAGGAUUAUCGCCACGUCUUCCCAUGAAAUUAUGGUUUUAUCACACAAUUGUGAUUGAAUUGGUCAAUUUAUCUGUGAGGAUGAUACCAAAUGACAAAUAUCGAAGCAUCAAAUCCCCUAGAAAAGUCAAAUGAGACAAUCAUGUCAAAUGUCAUGCGUGAAAUGAGGGAAAACCUUUUCUUUUACGUUGCUCCCUGAAAUCCGGGAAACCCUAAAAGAUAGGGAAUUCGCAAUGUCCACUCAAAUUCAUGGCCAAAGCUCGGAUAACGGAAAACAAGACUUUCCAGUAUGCAGGAACUACACUUUUAGCUGUCAUGUAUGUCCUCUUAUGCGGUCAUUUCUCUCCUCCCAUGUGCUCGGGGACCACCUUCUUGAUUCUCUUAAGAUUAUUAUUUUCGGACGCUCCCUCUAUAACUUCAUAUAAUUCAAAUUCCUCUUCUUCUUUUUUCCAUUUAAAUUUAAUUUGUUAAAAGAAACUUAGAAGUACUCCAAUAGUGUAGAGCGAAAUUCGCCCCUUUGUGAUGAGCAGUGAGGUUUAUUUGUCCCAGAAAUUAUAUAGUUCCUAUAGUUACAUCAAAUGCACAAUUGGUUAUCCAAAAGUUGUAAGAGUCAUGUUUUCUUCAAUCUCUAAUAGCUGGGAACUUCAUCUAACCUGUCUUUGAUUACUGAACUACAUGUCUAAAUAUAACCUGCUUGUAAGUUAAACAAACACAGAAUCCAUAACAAGAGAGAGGUGUUUUAUUUGCGUUCAUCCAAGUUUUAAUUGAGUGACAAGUACAAUAUUCUUGUACCUAAUGGUUUAUUGGUGGUGCAGUUCUCUAUUUUAAUUGAGUAAAAUUCUAACCAAAGAGGUGCAAAAUAUAAAAAUUCUAAGCUAAGAUAUGCUUUUAAACAAUCUAGUAUAGAUUGAUCAUUAUGUGCCACUUUUAAGAUAAUACGGUACUUCUAGUGAAAAUUGCAAGUUUUGAACUUCUUAUUGAGUUUUCCAAUUGGAAAUAUAUUUGGAGUUCAUAUUCUUUAAAGAGACCAAUAUUCUUUUACGAAGCCCAUAUUUUCUCAUGAUCCUCUAUUUCCACACUAAAAGAACCUACUUGUUGUUUUCUGUGAAGAGAUUACCCUCCGACAGGUGUCAGGGAUCGCAAUCUGUCUGCUUCCAAGGUACCCCUUUCCUGCAUUGCCAUGCACGUGAAACCCUGCAUCGGGUCUCUUAUCCUCUCGGCCAAUCAUCAAUGCCUCGGAACAUCCCACAAUGUGCCGCUCUAUAUAUACCUCCCUUAGAAUCCCUCAAACACACAUUCGAAAGGAAAUCCUUCUCCCAAGAAAUUAAAGAGUUGGCAUAAAAAUGUCAAUACUCCAAACCUUAAUUCUGUUCUCCUUCCUCCUCUCCGCCUCCCACGCGGCGGUCCAGGACUUCUGCGUUGGAGACCUCUCGGCCCCCGAGGGCCCCGCGGGCUACUCCUGCAAGAAGGUCUCAGCAGUCACCGUGAAUGACUUUGUCUUCUCAGGCCUCAGCGUGGCUGGGAACACCUCGAACCUCAUCAAGGCUGCGGUGACCCCGGCAUUUGUAACCCAGU
rnacentral:lncRNA from 1 species